rnacentral:lncRNA from 1 species
CUUGAUCUCCAAAAUAUGUCAAAAGUGAUAUAACAUGUAUUAAGUGUAUAGGAGCAAGCCAAGUCCAUGUUUGAAUUAAAUUGAAGCACUCUGGAAGUUGCUCUCUGAAUUUUGGUUAAGUGUUGAGUCUCCCCUCUUAGUCCUUUGUCUGGUGAUGUAUUUUCCUGGGAUUUCAAGCCUUUUUAAUAUCAAAACAUCAUCAUAAUCAGCUCCAAAAACAUCCUACACAAUCAAACACCAAGAAUUUGGAGACAACAGAACACAAUACUCCUAACGAUGAAUGAAGGCAAAAGCUAAGAUAGGCUAGUAAUCAUUGGUCUUUCACUUAUUGUUCUAGUUGUACACUAACUCAAAUUGAACUUUCUCAAUACCAACAAGUUAUUCCACUCAUAAUCAAACAUUUAAACCAUAAGGAACACAUUAAACACACUAUAAUUCAACGGGACCAACUAGACAAACACCUAGCUCAAGCUAGUAACACUAGUUUUCCAAGUUGAACUCUAAGUGACUUCGAUACAUACAAAAUUGUUUGAAAUUUAUGUUGAACAUUAUAAACACAUGCUUUAAAACUUUGAUACACAUUCAUAUUGUUAUCAACCUAUAUAUCACACGAAUCAUCCUUAAAACAAGUCUAAAAAGGCAAGAAUAAUGAUGCUAGAAUGAAUAACUACACCAAUCAUCCUCACCCAACAAUUAAAGCGUUGUUCGUCAUCAAAAACUCUUCAUUAUAGACAUUAUGAGCUGGAGACUCAACACUUCUACUACAUGCAAGACACUCAAGCUAGUACUAAAAUGACUACAAGAAAUACAAGUUUCUACACAAAACAUGUUACAAACACAAUUGAAUGAUUAUGAACACAACUCCUAAACAUCCAAGCCUUAAGAAAUUACUCACCUAUUUAGCAAACUCAUUCUUAUCAUUAAAUCAAGGACAUCAUAAAAAUUACCCACAUUCAUUGAACAUGUGACCUUAAAAAAAAAGAGUACCCAUAAUCACCACAAUUAUGCAAUUCAUACAUAAGUACAAGAAUUAAGUUACACUCACUCUCACAUGGAAUUCAAGAGUUAAACACAAUGAACAAUAGGAUUUCCCUUGGUGUAGUGUCCCACUAAUAUUAGAAUGUAAAGCUUAGUAUUAAUUAGGUCUUUUUUGGGUUGUAGUAUAAGCUUAGGGACGGGUAGGAAAUAUUCGAGAAUAGUGACUAACCUCUCUAAGCGCUUUAAUAUGUUGAAUUAUACAUUUAAAACUAGUCUCAAACAACCAAAUUGUACCAUUUUUGUCAACCCCAUUCUUUUAUUUUACCUCAACUCUUUUAAGCAUUUUCUAAAAACUUGGUAGGCAUAUUAUUUAUUCAGUCAAGAUUAAAUUUUUCUCAUUUUCUACAAUCAUGAAAAUAUUUCUAGCACCAUUUAUAUAACUCCAAACAAGCACAAAUCAAAUAUAAACACCAAUAACUAUUACCUCGGGAUAUUAAUUUUACCUUUUUCUUACUCAAUUUCUCAAACUCCUUACCAAAUCAAUAUAUAUAUAUAUAUAUAUAUAUAUUAAAGAACUUAUGAGCUUUUUGGAUCAAAUUAUGAUCUACCAAUGAAGUGAAUUAGGCUACAUAUGAGGCUACUAAAGAAAAGGCUAAAGGCUCAAUGGGUGUUAACUAGGAUAUUACAAAAAAAAUAGGACAAAGAGAAGAUAUAAAGCAAUGCUAUCAAAGAAAUGCCUAAAUCAUCUCUUAAACCAACACUCUUUACUUCACCUUACACAUACACCAGGAAAGUUCUAGAUAUCUAUGCAACAAAUAAUUUACAAAAAUCUCACACGCACAUGGCACAUGCUCAACUCAAUAGGAUCAUCAUAUACUCCCAAAUAAACAAUAACAAGAAUUCAAAUUUAACCCAAAGAGUACAAGAGUCAUAAAAUGAGCCUAAGCAUCUCAAAAGUAGUAAUUUUCACAAUCAACAUGCUUUUACCAAACAAAACACUUGCACCAUGUAAUAAAAAAUAGUACCAACUCAAAUAUCUUACAUAAAAAAAAUUAAAUUGAGUCAAAAAUUGGGAAUUUUCCCACACCACACUUAAAAAUAUACUUUGUCCCCAAAAUAAAUUUAAAAAUAAGAGACAGAAAUACUCCCUGAGACCUCUAGGCCUAGCAAGUAGUAUUUUUUUGGAUAAAAGAGGUAUUUGGGAUCCUACACUCAGUCUUUACCAUGAUCUUUAGCCUAUGUUUCCGUGCUCAGACUUCCCAUAAACCUGUGACUCAGCAAAAAACAAAAACUACAUGAAUUAAAAACUUAAACAAAAAUAAAAUAUUCCUACAUAACUUGGGUUUCCUCCCAAGAUGCUCGUGAUUUAGUAUCGCAGCAUGACCCUACUAACGACUUAGUUGUUCUCUUUCAUUCUCGUUCUCAUACUUGGUCUCCAUUUUUUAUUCUUUUCACCCCUCUAGGGUUCAAAUUUUCUAGAGCAAUAGGUUUUUUAACUUUAGACUUUUUAGGCUCAUCAAUUUACAUUAUAUUAGGCUUUGGAAAUGGAAGAUUAGGUAACUUAAUCAGGUAGUCCAAAGAGGUCUUUUGUGGAUUAACCACCCCACACAUGUACCCUUUAAUAACAUUGAUCAUACACUAAUCCUUACAGUGGGAUGUUAUAUUCAGUGCUUUAUAAACAUCAAAUACCACCUCGUCAUCCUUUGCCCUUAUUUUGACCGUGCCUUCUGUAACAAUAAUCAAUGCUCCUUUGGUUUCUAAGAAUGGACGCCCUAAUAUGAUUGGUACUUAUCUGUCUACCUUAAAAUCAAGAAUAAUAAAGUUAUCAAGAAUAACAAAUUUACCAACCUUUAUGAGGACAUCCUCAAUAAUUCUAUUUAGAUAUAUAAUGGAUCCAUUUGUGAGUUACAAAACGACAGUGGUCCAUCUAGGCUUUCCCAAGACCAAUAUUUCAAACGGAGAUAGGGGUAUCAAAUUUAUGCUCACCCUUAAUCACUCAAUGUGUGUGCCACUUUACUUCGAAUUUGGAUAAGGAGAGUAAACUUUCCUAGAUCUCUUAAUUUAUUAGGGAUUUUUUUGUGUCAUUAUAGUGCUACACUCUUCAGGGAGUUUUAUUGCUCCCACAUCUUGCAUUUUGACCUUAUUAGCAACUACAUCCUUCAAGUACUUUGUGUACUUGGGCAUACCCAGUAAAAUAUCUAACAAAAGUAAGUUAAUGUGAAGCCCUCUGAAUGCCUCAAAGAACUUGUUAAACAUCGUAUCCUCCUUUGCUUUGAUCUACUUUUGAGGAAAGUGAAGUGGUGGCACUUUCUUUUUUUCCUGUUUAGUAACAACUAUCUCUUUCAAGUACCUAAACUUUCUUGACUUAUCACCAAAUUUGUAAUAACCCUGUUGGGGAGUCAAAUUUACAUCUACCUCCUUUUUUGCCUUGAGAGGUUCUUCUUGAAGCUCUUUACUGCUCCUCAAGGUGAUUGCCAUAACCUGCUUUGGAUUUUCUACAUUUGCUAGAAAAUAACCUUGUUGCCUGGUAUUUAAUGCUUGCUGUAUUUGCCUCACUAGAAUCUCUAAGCUUCUCUAAGUUGCUUGCAAAUUUUUCAUGUCUGCAGCCAAUUGUGUCUGACUAGGUAGGAGCUAAUUCAACAUUUUUUCUAUAUUGCUAGUUGACUGAUUCUCUUGUGCCUGUGGUUGCUGAAUUUGUUAUUGUUGAGAAUUCCAUGACUGAGUCUGCCACUUUAUAUUGUAGGCAUUACCAUAAUUAGGCCUUUCAGCAUUACCUACAUUUAUCAGUUAUUUUAAUUUGGAAGAAUAUAUAGCCACUAAGUGACCACUAUUACUGCACACUUCACACUAACCUAAAGCUUGUUAGAUGGCAUUAACUAUUGUUGCAGGUUGUAGAGCUCCCAAUUUUAGCCUAUUGAACUAUGUGUUUAUCAUAUUUUUCAAUGCUACAACCUGAGCUGAUAAGGCAAUAAAUUGGUCAACCUCUAAUAUGCCCGCAAUUCUUUUUAUGGAACUUCUAGAUUUUGAAUGUCACUUAGGAUUUUCUUAUGCUAUAUGGUUCAAUAUUGUGUACAAAUCAUCAUAAGUCAUCUCAAGUGCUUGACCAACUUUGGAAGCUAUUGGGGAUGACUUAUCCCAAAAGUGAAUAAUUUGGGAUUAUGUUAGGAUGAUACUUUUUCCCGAUUCACUUUCAGGACACUUAUCAUUAAUAAUCUGUACUCACCUCUAUCGUAAUGCAUGUGUCACUAUUGAUGAGGAGCUACACCAUUUGUGCUUUAAUAAAAAAUUCCCCCAGCAGCUGGUCUUUGAAUUGGGGAAGUAAAGUUCGUCGAAAGUGGGACUACCACUUACCUCACUAUCCUAUGGGCUUCUUGUUCCUCAGCCAUUGGAGCUGGAACUAAUUGGCCUUCUUCUAUCUACAGAAAUUAAGGGAGACAAAUUGCAUCUCUCCUUCAUUAAUUGAAGUGUUCGGGUUCAGGGCUUGGUUCAACCAAAUCCCUAUCCCUUGCCAGCUCCCUUACCUUGAAACCUAUUUUCUGCAAUCAAAAAAUUAAUACCAAGCAUAAAAAUACCAAAUAAAUCUAAAAUUAAAACUAAAAUAAACAAUUGUCGAAUAAGAAGUCCCUAGUAAAGGCACUAAAAACUUUACAAUGCCCAGCGCACACGCAUGUGUACGUGGUCUUAUCAAGUAGUAAAGUGGCCUUCAAGAAGCCAAGUAUCAAUACCACAGAGACUUUACUUAGAAAUAAUUCUAUUUUAGUUUACAAUUUAGAUUCAGUUGAUGCAAGCGUAACGAAAAAAGAGAGUUUGCAAUUUAUAACUAGAGAAAAUUAAACAAUGUGUAAUGUAAAGAUCUUGUAACAAUCAAUAAGAGAAAACCCAGGGUUAAAUCACUUUGAACAAUCGUACUAUGUUAUUGAAUUCCAUUUGUUAACUUUCAUAUCUUAGUUGAAUAUUAGUAGGGUUAAUUGCAUGAUUAUGGUUUCCAAACCUCUAAUCCUUUACCUAAGUUGAACCUUACAACUACAUCGUUGAGCGGGGAUGUAAUAGUCUACUUAAGUACUUUAGGCUAUCAUCCUACAUUUGAAUCAAGUUCGGCUCCUAAGUACAUCCCUAUCCUAGGUGCUAUGUAUAAUUCUUUAUUCUAUUAAAAAAUAAAAACUCAAACUUUGUUCUUCUCCUUCUUCUAUCUCCUAUUCCCUCUCUGAAGAUCAAAAGGUAGACAAUUGAUAUAUUCUAAGGGUUGCAAAUCCUUAAAAUAGUUAAAUCAAAGAUGAACACACAAGCAAUAAUAAUAAUAUAGUUAAAUGAAUUCAAUUGAAAACUAUAGUACUCACAUUCUUUGCUUCAACCUUGGAAAAGGGCGUUUAGCCACGCAUAGUAGUAAUCAUAAUCACAAAUUUGUAAUUAAAGACUAAAAACAUGAAUGAACAAAAUUAAAAUAAUAAAAAACUAAUUAUGAAGUUGUAUCAGCCCCUUGAUCUCGAAAAUAUGUCCAAAUAUAUGUAAAAAGUCAUAUAUCAAGUAUUUAUAGUAUAGGAGUAACCUAAGUCCAUGUUGGAAAUGAAUUUUAGCACUUUGUGAGCACAGGAAUGGGUGGGCAUCUCCCUGGCUAUAGCCCCGCUCCAGGUAAAGAUUCUAGAGUGUCGACCUAGGAAAGUCUAUGAACUUCCCAUACACUACUCUUGGGGUGGUGGAACCUCAAUAUCGCUCUCAGCCUCUGAAAGUUGCUCUCCAAAUUUUGGUUAAGUGUUGAGUCUCCCCUCUUAGUCCCUUUUCUUGUGGUGUCUUUCCCACGGAUUUUAAGCCUUUUUGACAUAAAAAUAUCAUCAUAUUAAGAUAUAAAAUCAUCCUACACAAUCAUACACCACUAACUAGAAGACAACACAACACAAUACUCAUAACAAUGAAUUAAAACAAGAGCUAACCAGGGCUAGUACACACUGAUCUUUCACUUAUUAUUCCAACUUUACAGUCACAUAAAUUGAACUUUUCUCACUACCAAAAAGUUUUUCCACUCAUAAUCACACAUUUAAGCCAUAAUACACUCAUUAAACACACGAGAAUUCAAUGGGAUCAACUAGACAAACACCUAGCUCAAGCUAGUAACACUAGUUUUCUGGGUUGAACUCUAAAUGACUUCAUUAAGUACAAACUUGUUUGGAAUUCACUUUGAACAUUAUAAAAACAUGAUUUAACACUUUAAUACAUAUUUAUCUCAUUAUAAACCCAUAUAGAACACGAAUCAUCCUUACAACAAUGCUAAAAUGCUAGAAUAGUGAUGCUAGAAUGCAUAAAUACUCCCACAUCAAUACUGUCCCUGGAAAAUGAAUACUAUGAAGCACAACACUUAAUUUUCUAGUAGAAUGGAUGCAUUUCGAAGGAAAUAUCGCCAAAUAAAUAGGCAAAGUAGAACUACACUAAUGAUUACCCCUAAUGGGAUGAAGUUUGAAGAGCGACAAAAGAAUAUCAACCAUAAUAUAAAAUCACAAGAGAUGAACUCAUAAACUCUAUCAAAAUUAUAAGGCCGAAAGCUCCCUAAUAGGAAUGUAAAGAUUCAUCAUCCAGGAAAAGGAUUUACUUCACUAGAUCAAUGAAGAUUCGCUUAAAAGGCCAAGAACAAUGGAGGCAGAAAUACGGUGUCGAUUGGUUGAUGGAAAAAGGAUAUGCGAGUUCAUCACUGUCACCAUGCAACACUGUUGUCUAAAAGAUAACGUUAGAUGACAUGUAAAAGAUGUUAACCUUUCUAGUGGUUUACCCUUUCCAACAUAUUACCUACCUCUCCAAGGAAACCCUGCUAGAUGGGUUACCCUCGCUAGUGGGUUACCCUUUUAAGUGGGUUCACCUUAUUUUCAAUAUUUUAUUUUAAGAUUAUCCAUAGUUAUAUCUUAUCAAAAAAUCUUUAUUCUCCUAUAAAAGGAAGAAUAGGACUUUAGUGAGAGGGCAUCAUCCUCUCUACCCAAAGAGAUUAUCAUCCUCUAUACCUAAAAACUGCUUGUAAAGUUUUCUCUCUAUCAAUAAAGAUGUUUGUUGGCUAAUAUAUCUUUCUCUUGUUUUCUCUCUUCCAAAAGUAUGGGUACUUCUAUCCUUUAGGUCAGAGUAUGGGGUAAGGAAAUACUUUGGAAAAGUACUUAUUGUGACUGCAACAUGGAACUUAAAAGGUACUUUCCAUGUAUAUGAAAUAAAGUUGGUUUCAUCCAGGUGACGUAGAAGUCUAAGUUCUUUCUAUAUAUCUGAAAUAAAAUUGGUUUUUUCUAUGCCAUAACAUUCCAAAAUGAUUCAACAUCUUAAAAGGAACACGUAGAUCUAAGAUCUACCUUAGUACACCUUUUGUUUCACUCAUAAUUGAGGGAAACAUGCUAAUUAAAUCCAUCUUAAUACCCAUUUAUGUCAUAUUCAAAACAGUCUUAAAAUAAGGAGACUGAAGAUUUCAUGUAUUCUAAGACUGGCAAAGUCAUGCUAUCCUCCUGAGGGUUUUGAAGUGUUUGUUGCCAAGGCAAAUCGUCCUUAUCCAAAUGUAUUGCUCAGUGGUAAAGUCAGGAAAUCUGAUUGAGGGUUGCAAAUUUGUUGUUGUUGAAGUAGACCAUCCUUAGAUGGAUACAUAGCUCAGCCAUAAGAAAGCUAUGGAGCAUUGAUUGAAAGUUUUGAUUUUAUAUUGCUUCCUGCCUACAUGGACGUGAAUUUCCUAUUAAGUUGGAAAAGUUAGAAUCUGUGUAUGUGGUGUCUAUAGAAGCUUUGAUUUAGUGUGGCUUGCAGCCAAUAUGGUCAUGAAAUUGCCUUUUAUUUUAGAAUGUUUGGAUAUCUGUUUCUAACCACCUAGUUGCCAUCGCCGGUAGUCCCCCAUGCCUAGCUGCCUUCCUGUUUAUUUAGUAUCAGAGCCAUCUCCACUUUCCAAAAGAAGGAGAAAGCAGGAGUUUGCAUACACAUUUGUUGAUUACAAAUACGUGUGCCAGCUUUACAUUUUAAUUUUUAGUUUUCACUUUCCUUUGUCUUAGCUGUUAGUAUUAAGAUCCAUCCUUAUUUUUCAUUUCUCAUUUAUCAUUACAAAAGUCCUGUAAAUAUUAGAUUCAUAGUAUUUCCAUUAUCAGAGUCAGUGUUUUCCAGUUAUCAUAUUUUUUGUCUUUUACAUAAUCUAGUCGUAGUUACUUUUCUUAGAUUUUAGAACAAAUAUUUGUUGUGUCUUGUCCUUAGAUAUUUAGAAAAAAUAUAUAGAGUCUUAUUGUCCACAAAAAUACAAAAAGAUUUUCCAUUUGACUGAAUCUAUUCCAUAGUGCCUUAGAACAAAUGCAUUGAGUGUUUAGAGUCCAAAAAAAUGCAAACACAUGUUCAUCUUUGAGACCUUACCAUCUUCCUCAUCUAGUUCAUAUAAACCUUUUUGUUAAGAUAAACAUGUCUAUCACCACAAGUGAUACAUUUUCAUGUAAAAUUGACUAUCUAUACGGAGUAGAUGUUUCUAUCACAAAACCAGAUAUCUACCAUACCUUUAAAAAAUUCCUAUUCAAUUGUUGCUAAAAAUAUAUGCAAUCCCUUGAUGAAGAUCAAGUCUAUGGUCUAAUAAAUGCCAAAAUGAGUUAAGUAAUAUUUUGUUGCAACACCACUUGUACAACACCCUAUUCUUAUGACUCCAAAUGAAUAAUUCAUAUCAUUGCAGAUGCCAGAGGACUUUCCACAAUAGUGGAUAAGCCUUGGAUUUACUUAUCUCCAUAUUGGUGUAGUAUGAAUUGCAUUGACAUAUCAUGGGGAAAAAGGCCAUUGAGUUGUGGAGAAGCUUUUUUUCUUGAUACAUGAUUCAAUAAGUACCAACAUGCAAAUUUAAGUACAUCAGAGAUUAUCCUAGAUGAUGGUACAAUAUUUGUCACCAUAUUCCCCAACUUCAACAUGUCUCUAUCUGAUCUAUAUCAAAUUAAGGCAUUGAAGAUCCAGACCCAGAUUCUCAGAGCUCUACAGGUCAGCGAUGCCAUUCAUACAAUACUUAGAUAGCAGAUAGCCUGGUGAGUGCAAAACCAUAAUAUUAAACUAUCUCCUCCUAGUGGCAAAAACUCUUUCUUCUUAAAUAUAUAUGCAACUAAUGGAACCAUAGAGUGUACUAAGAUCUCAAAAAACAUAUCAAGGGAUAAACUGGUCAGCAUUAUUCCAGCUUCAUAGGUCGCCCAAUAUGAGAAGUUGAGAGACAAUCCUCAACCUCGCAAGUCCAUUAAUGAUUUCAACCACCUCUAUCAGAAAAUCCACCUACAACCACCUUAUACAUCCCCAUGUUAAACCCAAGUCAUUAUCUUUUAGAUGUAAAAAUCCUGAUAAAAAUCCUCAUGAUCCUCACUGACUUGAUGAAAUAUCAUGAUUGUGCAAAGUACUUCAAUCAUAAGGGUCGUAGUCUGAUGUGGCAUAAAUGCCCUUUCAAAAUAAAAUCUGUAACUGAAAGGAUGCAAUGGCUACUCGGUCUGAGGUCAACCCUCAGAUGCUCAUGAUAUCCAUUUCUUAAUCAAGUCAUAUAUAUUCUAUCCUGCCAAAUCACCACUCUACGAAGGAUAACAUAAUCCAAACUCCAAAAAUACCUUCGAAGUUCCAUGUUGCAUUCACAACAAGUUCUUGACUGAAUUAUUUCCUUAACCCACCACUCCGACCUAAAGGAUAAAAGUACAUAUCCCUUUGGAAAAGAGAAAAUAAGGGAAAAAGUGUUUAGCAAUAAACAUCUUUAUUGAUAGAGAGGAAACUAUACAAGAUGUUUUUAGGUAGGGAGGAUGAUGCCCUCUAACUAAAGUCCUAUGCUUCCUUUUAUAGGAGAUGGAAGCUUUCUAGUAAGCUAGACCUAAGGAUAAACUUAAAAUAAAAUAUUAUGAUCCUAUCUUAUCAUCUAAGGGAUAGUCAUUAUCCAUUAUGACUAGAUAAGGCUUAUCCUUUUGUAAGGGACAUGCCUUCUCUAUUAUGACUAGAUAAGCCUUAUCUUUAUUCACACCGGGCCCUACUAAUAUGUUAUCCAGAAAAUAAAACAUAAUACACUAAUGUUGUUGGCAUAUGACAUCAUAUGCAUGUAGGUGAGUCAGCAACUUGUAAGGAGGUGCAUCAGUAACUUGUAGGCAUCGUGCAAGUAGCUGGAUAAAAUCCUUGUCUUCAAAGUAGCUGAUUCAACAGCUUUCAGACAAACCCAUUUGAAAAGGCAACAUACUGAAGAGUUUUUCCUUGCUAAUGAGGGUAACCUACUGAAAAAGGUAACACUUUGGUGAGGGUAACCCAUAUGACAUAGUUUCAUUGGAGAGGAGGGUAACCCACUUGAAAGGGUAACCCACUGGAGAGGCUAAUCUAUUGGAAAGUGUAACCCUCUUGAGAGGGUAACUUUUUUAAACAUAUCAUCUGACAUCAUCUUUCAGGUAGUAGUGUUGGAUGGUUCCCGCGAUGAACUCAUGUAUCCUCUUUCUAUCCAUCAGUCAACAUUGUUCUUCUUUUCAGGCACUCUUAACCUUCAUAGCUUCUCUUCAUCAUUUUAGUAAAGUAAAUUUUUUUUUCUAGAUGAUGAAUCUUUGCUUUCCUAUGGGGGAGCUUUCAUCCAUAUGUUUUUGAUGGAAUUGGUUACUUCAUCUCUUGUCAUUUCAUAUGGUGGAUGAUAUUUUUUAUAACACAUCAAGCCUUAUCCCAAUGGGGAUGUUCGUCGGUAUAGUUCUAAUUUCCCCAUUCAUUUGAAUAGAUUACUUUUGAAAUACAUAUGUUCUGCUAGAAAAUGAAGCGUUGAGCUUCAUAGUAUUUAUCUUCCAAGAAGAGUAUUGAGAUGGGAGAUUUCCAAAGUAGUAAAACUUUUGGAUGAUCUUAGACAUCGUGGCCUGUGGUUCCUAUGGGAUGACACAACAUGGAGACCAUUGAUCAUAUGAAUCAUUGAAGCAUCAAAUCUAGUGUUGUUGAAUCGUAAAACAAAACAUGAAUCUCAUUAGAGCAGGUUGGAUUCAAUUGAAAUGCCUGAAGGCAUCGCACUUGAACUUUAUGAGAAUAUAGUGUCGGUGGAAUAGGUACUAGAAUAACCAUAAUAGUUCUCAUAGGAAGUCAUUAGCUAUUGCUAUGAACACAUGGAAAAAAAGGUAUUCUGGGUGCACUCCAACCAUAUUAAGGAUGGAUCCACCAUACUUUUUCAAUAGUUGAAGCUCAUAAAAAGUUAUUUUUUCUAGGAGGAUAGGUGGAUUGAAUGGAUCCACAUAUUGGUUGAACAGAUCUGGAGGGAAAUCUAUUAUUAUGCAAGAUAAUAUUCUUGAUAUGUUGAGCAUGAGUAUGUGACCAGCCGGUGUCUGACCAUCUUCUCUACUUCUAGAUAUUUGGUAGAAAUCAUUCGUAUCAGUGUCUCCUAAUUCUUUGUCUAUAUUUACCAAGAAAAAGGUGUCCUCCGUUAGUUCUUAUUCCAACAAGAAGACCUAUUUAAGGUCGUCCCCUUUGCUAAGAUAGAUUCCCAUAUGAUCAGGUAUUUCUUCAAAGAGGUGGACACAGUUCUUUAACUUUAUUGUUUUUGGACAAUUUCAUGUGUAGUGACCAAUCUUUCUACAAAUGAAGUAGCUAUCAUACUUUUUCUUGUCGUCUGUUGGGUUCCUUCAUCUGGAAUUCCUAGUUUGCUUGAUCGCCUUAUACUUGUCGUCUGAAGGCCUGUGUUGUUUAAAUCUCCUGAACUACAACAUUUUCUAGGAUCCCAUCUGACGGGUUGAACAGAGAAAAUUGGACUUCACAACUAGAUUGUUCCUGCUGUAAUAAAGAUCAAGUGCUGGGUUUUUCUAGAUGAUUCACUUUAGUACAGAGCUCUCCAUUGAUAGACUAUUUAAGGCCUAGUAGAUGGCCUACCUGGUGUAGCUUUCAUCUCUGCAGAAGGAUUCUCAUAGAAUUCGAAUACUGAUGGCAAAGUAUUAAGAUGUGAGAUAGGUGUUUUUAUCCACAAUCUCAAGUGCAUUCCACGAAUCAGUGAGAAUUUUAAGGAAUCUAGAUGUACAAUCUGAUAGUGUCAUACAUUGUCCUCUUUUAACCAGAUUCUUCAUUGUCAUGGGAGUGGAGACAUCCUAAGGGAAAGGUAGAAUUGGAGCAAUGGUUUUUCCUCUGUUAGUGGUUCUUGCCUCCUUCUUGGGACUACAUCACUAGUUAGCUUAUUUAGAUCAGAGACUAAUUUAUAGGCCUUAGACUUUUUUGAGUUUUUCUUGAACAUGGAUGGGUUUUCAUCCUCAAGCAAUUGGAUUGAUGGAUGCAUAGUAUCUACAUUACCUUUGACAUAUUCACCAUCACAGAAGUCAACAUUAGCAUUACAUUACUAUCUUUUAAUGGAAGAUUAUGGUUGGCCACCAAUGCAGACAUUCUCGAAUGUUCUUUUUUUUGUGUUGAAAGCAUAUUCAGGAAUUUCAUCUGGAUUUUGAUGAAGAUUAUGAAGAGCUUCAUCUUUAGCUGGGAACUAAGAAGCCAUGGAUUCCUCCGAGGUUUGAUCUACCCUCUUGUCUUUUUUGGAUUUAGGAAAUACUUUUGCAAAGUGUCUUUGUUCAUGGAAAAUAAAGUAUUUAUGCUUGCUUAGGUCUUCAUUUCUAGAGGAUUUGGUAUCUAUUCUGAUCAUCAAUUCCUUAUCUAGCAGCUUCUUCUUUUUGGCUCAUCAGUACUAUAUGUAUAUUUUGUACCAUGCAUAUCGCUUUCAAAGCUAGGGAGACCGAUCUAGCUUGAUAACCAUAUUAUUAUGUAUCGCCCCAGAGUGGGCAGAUUUUGAGCAUUCAUCUAACAUGAUGUUAUCGAAUGAAGUUUCCUUAUUAUUCUUGAAAUGUUGGGAGUGUGUGUGUUUAGAUGACCCUCUUGGAAAAAAGUCAUCAUCUUUUGGAACAAUAAGACUUGGAUCAACUUGAUUGAGGUUGGUCAAGUCAGCAUCCUUAUGAUUGUCUCUUAAAAUGCAUUAUUUUAGAGAGGCUUGUUCUUCAUUAUGGGAUUCCUCAUCAGGGAUCUGUAAGAGAUCAUCUUAAGUGGUGGAAUAUGAUUCACAACUUGAGAUUAUCAUAUGUGCUGGAUCAACUAAAUAUUUAUUAAUGUCCUAUAGUUGUUCUUCUGGAUCAUAUUUUUGGGCUACUCUCUAAAUAGGAGAAUCAUUUUGUAGUUUGUUAUUUUGGAUUUCUGCAUUUUGGAUCUCAUGAUCAUUAGCUAUGACUACAGAGUAUGGGCUAUGGAGGAUGGAACUACAUGCGGAGACCAUCUUAUUGGCAUCAUAUGGAACCUGGCUAGAAUGCCUUAUCUUCUUGACCUGGUUUUGUGCCAUCUGAACUUUUUGUGCCAUGAAAUAUUUUCGUGUCCACACAAUAUCAAACUCUUUAUCAUCUUUUGAAGUUGAAAUGAAUAGAAUUGAUAAAUGUUGUGGAAAAGGUUGGACUAAUAUUUGUGGAGGAUAUCCAUGUGGAAAUACAUUGGAUACUGGGGCGUUUUAUAGUAAGGUGCAGUCGUAUUUCGGAUUCCGCAUUUUAUCUUCAAGAGAGGCCAUGUUUUUUUCUUUUUGGUGAAAAAAACAUAGAAAUGGGGUUCCUAGUGGACACUUUUAACACUGGAUGGUCCGCAACUUAUCUUUGAGUGCUCUGAUUAGUAUGGGCUGUUUGGUGUAUGCUUGAGAACCUUCUGGUAGGAUAACAAGUAGCUCUUUUAGAGCUCAAAUUAGGUUAUCCUUUUUAGAGUGGAAUUUUGGUGGGGAAUAAUUUAUGUGACUGCAUUGAGAAAGGAACUCAUGAAUAUCUAAUGGUUGGCUUUAGAUAGAGUACCUGUUACAUCCUUUUUGCGUUAAAUUUUGCAUUCACAAUCAGUCUUCCAUGGAUAAUGUCCAGAGAAAGGGUAUUUACACCACAUGAGACUAUGACCCUCAUGAUUUAUGUGUUUUAUCUAAUCAUGGUCUUUCAUGAAUAAAAUGAAGAACUUGAGAAUGGUCCUCGGGUUCUUUACAUUUGGAAGAUCAUCACUUGUGUUGUACAUAGGGGUGUAGAAGGUGGUUCUUAUGGCUUUUUUAGAUAGAGGAAGUUAGAAUGAUUAGUGGACUUGAGAAGUUAAGGAUAGGCUCUUUACUUCUCAUAUUUGGUUACCCAUGAAACUGGCAUAAUGGUGACCUGUUCAUCCCAAGAUAUGUUUAUCGGUAUCUUGGUGCUCUCUAUGGUUAUAUUAUUUGCAUCUAUGCUCAAGAAUAGAGAGUUCUUAUCACUUGGAAGAGAUAGGUUCAUAUUAUGUUUUUGUACUGACCAGGAUAUAUGGCAAUGAAGAGAUGCCGAUGUGGCAUCUCUAACCUGCAUAGCAUCGAGAAUCUAAAUGUGGAUCUUCAAUGCCUUUAUUUGAUGUUGAUCAAAUAAUGGCAUGUUGUAGUAGGGGAAAAUGGUGACAAAUACAGUACCAUCAUCUAGGAUAAUGUUUGAUGUACCCAAAUUUUCAUGUUGGUACUCUUUUAAUUUUUUUUCAAGAAGAGAAAUAUGCGCCACAAUUGGUCAGCCUUUUCUUCCUUGAUAUGUCAACCCAAUUCGUAUAACACCAAUAUGGAGAUGAGUAAAUCCAAGGGUUUUCCAUUUUUUGUGGGAAAUUCUCUGGAAUCCGCAGUGAUAUGACCUAUUCUUCUGGAGUCACAAGAAUAGGGUAUUGUACAAGUGGUGUUGCACAAUAUAUUCAUUAACUCCUCUUGACUUUUCUUAGACCAGAGACUUGAUCUUCAUCCAAAGAUUGCAUAUCUUUUUUACAACAACUGAAUAGGGAUUUUGUAAAGGUGUGGUAGAUAUCUACUUUUUUUAUGCCAACACAUCUACUACAUAAAGAUAGUCAAGUUUACAUGAAACAUAUCACUAGGAGUGAUAGACAUGUUUAUCUAGAUAGAAGAAUUAUAUGACCUAGAUGAGUAAGAUGGUAAGGAUUCUAAGACGAACAUAUUUCUAGUAUUUUUUGGACUAUAAAGACUCGAUGUAUUUGUUCUAAACUUCUAAGGAAAAGAAUUAAUAAAAUUUAGAAAUCUUUUUGUAUUUUUGGUGACAAUAAGACUCGAUAUAUUUGUGCUAAAGAUCUAAUGACAAGACGCAACAACUAUUUUGUUCAAAACACUAAGAACAGAAACUUUGGCUCGAUUAUAACAAGAAACAAGAUAUUUUAACUGGAAAACACUAACUCUGGUAAUGAAAAUACUAUGACUCAAAUAUGUAUAGGACUUUGGGAGUAAUUACUUGAAAGACAAGACAAAAGAUCUAAGGCUAGUAUCUAAGACAAAGAAAAGUAAAAAAAUAAAAUAAAAAUGUAAUGCUGGAUCACGUGUUUGCAAUAAGUAGAUGCGUAUGUGAACUCCUUCUUCCUCCCUCCCACCAAGAGUGGAUAUGGCUCUGAUACUAAAUGGAUGGGAAGACAGUAGGGCACAGAGGACUGCCAGCAACUAUAACUUGAUGGCUAGCAACAGAGCUCCAAACUUUCGAACAUCAAAGGCGAAUUCACAACUAUGUAGACAGCAAGCCAUAAUAUAUCAAAGUUGUUGUCCAUAACAAUUCCAUUGAGUCUAACCUUUCCAACAUGAUAGGCAAGUCAUAUCCAUAUAGGUGGAAAUUUAUAUGAAAUCAAAUCUUUAAAUCAACACACCAUGGAUUUUUAACUAUCUAGAUAUGUAUCUGACUAAGGACAGUUUGCUUCAGCAACAAAGACCUCCAAACCCUUAAUGGGAUAAAAUGACAUUUCCACUGAGCCAAACAUAUGGAUAAAGAUGGUUUUCCUUGGAAACAAAGAAUUUAGACCCCUCAACGGUAUUGUAUCACUUUACAAAUCUUAGAACACAUGAUAUCUUUUGUCUACUUAGUACAAAACUAUUUUGUAUAUAAAAUAAACAGGUCUUACAAUGGAACUGCCUAGCCUAUUUACCUCAAACAUCCAUGGACAAAAUGGUGUGCUAAGUUAGAUAUCAAAUAUUCGUGUUCUUUGUAAGAUAUUAAAUCAUUUCAGAAAGUUAUGGCACAGACUAAUAGAAUUUUAUUUCACAUACGUGGAAAGUACUUAGACAUCUAUAUUGCAUGGAUGAAGCACACUUUAUUUCAUAUUCAUGAAAAGUACCUUUGGAGUUCCAUGUUGCAGUUACAAUAAUUACUUUACUGAAGUAUUUCCUCGCCCUACUACUCUAACCUAAAUUAUCAAGUACCCAUCCCUUUGGAAGAGAGAAAAUAAGAGAAAGAGAUUUUCGCCAACAAAAUAUCUUUAUCGACAGAGAGAAAACUAUAAAAGAGGUUUUUAAGUAGAUGAUGAUGCCCUUUAAUUAAAGUCAUGUGCUUCCUUUUAUAGGAGAAGGAAGCUUUCUAGAUAAAGUAGAUCUACGGAUAAACUUGAAAUAAUAUAUUACAAUCCUAUCCUAUGAUCUAAGGGAAAGGAAUUAUCUAUUAUGACAAAAUAAGUCUUAUCAUUUUGUAAGGGAUAAACUUUAUAUGUUAUGACUGGAUAAGCUAUAUCUUUAGUCACUUUGAGCCCUACUAACAUAUGAUGGGCUAAAUAAAACAAAACACACUAAUGUUGUUGGCAUUUGAUAGCAUGUGUAAGCAGGUUAAUUAGCAUCUUACAAUCAGGUUCAUCAGCAGUUUGUAGGUAUCUUGCAGACAGGUAGAUAAGCUCUUUGUCUUCAAAUUAGCUGAGACAGCAGCUUUAAGACAAACAAAUAUGAAAGAAUAACCCACUAAAAAUGGUUUUAUUUUUCAUAAAGGUAACAAACUAGAAAGAAUAACACACUUGUAAAGGUAACCCAUCUGAUAGGGUUUUCUUAGAGAGAAGGGUAAACUACCAGAAAGGGAAACCCACUAGAGAAGGUAACCCUCUGUAAAGGGUAACCCAAUGAAGAGAGGGUAUCUUUCUUGGACAUGUCAUCCAACGUUAUCUUUUAGGCAAUAGUGUUGGAUAGUUCCAACGAUUAGCUUAUGUAUCCUUCUUCCAUCUACUUAUCAAUGUCGUGCUUUUGCCUAAGCCACAAAAUCUAGAUGUGAACUCUAAGAGUACAAUGUAUUUCUCCUAUUCAGCUAAAUUAUUUAUCACCAUCAAAGUAUAGAAGUCAUGGAUCCUUGAGGGCCAAUCUAAAAUCUUGAUGUUGUCAAGAGUGAAGGUGUGAAAUCCAAUUCCCAUAAUUUUCAUUACUGGUGUACCUAGAUCUGGCCUUCUUUCUGGGAUUGGAUCGUCUAUCAUCCCAUCUUGGUCAUCAACAACUUCUGAGACCUAUGAUUCCUUAGAGUGGUUCAUGUAUUUGGGUGGAUAUCCUUCUUUGUGUGAUCCUACAGAGCAUCCAUGAUCAGCAGCAUCAAUAUCUUUGGUAUGUGCUAUAGUAUCAUUAUAAGCAUUACAAACUUCGUAUGUUCUAGAGUAUCAACAGAUGAGUAUUUCUUGUCUUGCAUGUUUCUAUUAGAAGUUCCAUCACUAGUUUUCAAACAUACAUCCAUAGGGUCAGUAGUGGAUAAGUGUUUUGUAUUCUCCUUAGUUUUAAAUCCAUAUAAUUCAUUGAUGUCUUUCAGAUACUCCCUCUGAGAGUUAUUCUUGAUAACUUGAGGAGUGGCAUCUCCAGGAUCUACAGCAUCAAAUUAUGAGAUCACCUAAUAUAAUAUGAUCGAGACAUCUUUUAUAUGGUCAUCUGGAAAUAACCUUUUGUUAUUUAGGAUAAAAUUUCUUGUGGACUCCCAGACUUCCUCUGGUUUCUUCUCACUUUAUGGUUCUACACUUUGGAUCUCAAGGUUGUCAUCUGGGUCUAUGGGAUCAUGUGUAGGAGCAGUACAUUUUUGGACCAUCUUAUCAACAUAGUAUGGAUCCUAUCUUGAAUAUUGUAUCCUGUUAAACUUAUCUUGUGCCAUCUUGGCUUUCCUUUGGGUUGCUAUGGCAUCUUUCAUUUCCCAUAAAAAUUUUACAAUAUUGAACUCAAUAUAUUAAUCUCUUAGAGCUGAAGUAAAUAUUGUGGGUAUGGAUAAACGAAGUACGUAGACGGAAACCGGUUGGCCCAAUCUUUCUGGAUAUUAUGUUUUUAGAAAUACAGUUGCCUUUUAGGUUUUUGGAAGUUUAUCACAAUCGUAUUUUAGGAGAUAAAUCUGUUCUUAUAUUGAGGCCAUUUCCUUUUUUUAUUGGUCAAGGAAAUGCAGUAUCGAGGAUUUUAGUGGGUAUUAUUUACACUGAACAAUUUGUAGCCUACUUAUCCAUGCUCUAAUAAAGUAUGGAAUAUUGAGUUGAUGCUUGGCGUCUUACUAGCUUCAUUUGUUAUGCAUGUCGAAUAAAAUAUGGUUACUUUGGAAUAGGGUUUCAAUUAUUCCUUAUGGAUGGAUAAUUUGGCAGGAUGGUAUGGUUAAGACCGGAGUUGGUUUUUGAUAUAAUGAACAUUAGAGGUUCAAGAUUUGAUUUGGAUUUAGGGAUUUUUUUAUCAAUAGAGUGGGAUGUUUUAUUUCUCCUUCAUUUUAAGGACUCUGGUAAUGGAUUUUUUGAAAGUCCCAAUACUCAUCCCAUUCUAGUUCAUCUUUCUCCUUAUCACAAUUAUUCAGCUAGUCGCUUUCGUAUUUUUUACAGUCACAAUCAAUGUCCCAUAGGCAGUGUCUUCUAAAUGCAUCUUUGAACCAUUUUUCAAUAUACCCAUCAUGACAAAAUUAUUGUAUCCAAUUCUAUUCAUUUAUGGAACUAGUGAGAUAGCCUGACAUAUUCGCUGGAUUUGGAUUUUCUUCAUCAAGAAUGGUGUCAACAAGGGUAUAUAUUGGAGGGAGAGAGAUAGAUUGUAAGGGUUUUUAGAAAAUAUAUGUUUUGGUAUUCGGAGAUGUUGUGGAUAAACUCUCAUCAUCUCAUAACUUUUGACCCAUGACCGGAAGAAUCGUGUGGAAUUCUUCCUCAGAGACAUCUUUUGGUAUAUGGAUACAUUGGGUCAUUCCUUUGGUGGCAUCUAUGGUAAAAGACAAUGAGUGGUAUCUACCUAGAAGGAACAAGUUUUAUUUGUUUUUUUGGACAUACCAAACUAUCUAGUGGUGUAAGGUUAUUUGUGUAGAGCUAUAGUAUAGUGGAGCUUCAAGGAUUUAGAGUUGAAGAAUCAAUUCCUUUGUUAGACAUGGCUCGUAGAGGGAUAUGUUGAAAUUUGCAAACAUGGUAACAAUGACUGCCCCUGAGUCCAGUGUGAUUUCCAAAGUGCCAUAGCUCACACAUUGGUACUCUCUGAAUCUAGUAUCAAGUAGAGAAAGGCAUGCCUUUAUCAUCUAUCACUUUCUCCCAUAUUGUUUCAAGGCAAUUCGAAUAGCACAAAAAUGGAUAUGGUUGAAGUUAUACCUCUUAUGCAAUUGUGGAAAAUCCUUUGGCACCUAUAAAAUGAUGAACUAUUCAGCUGGAGUCGUAAAGACAUACUGAUCAAGUUUUGUUCCAUCAUAGUAUACCUUAACUCAUUCUUAUUUUUGUUGAUAAAAGGAAUAUAUCUACAACUCUGGAUUACACUUUUUUCUUGCAAAGGCAUAAUAAGGGUUUGGUAUAGGUAGAUAUGUAAAAGAUAGAUCUUGUUCUUCUAAUAACACAUCUAGUUCAUAGAGAUAUACUUUCUAGCAUGAUGGAGUUUUGUUGAUGGAUGGAGACAUAUGUAAUGUUUCUAAAAAUCUACAUAAACUAGUCACAGAAGAUGUAGAUGGUGAAAACUCUAAGGCGGAUAUAUUUUUUUAUUUUUCUGGACUAUAAAGACUCGAUGUAUUUCUUCUAAGGCUCUAUGGAAAGGACUUAAUAAAAUGUAAAAUCUUUUUGUACUUUUUUGGACAAUAAUACUCUUUGUAUUUGUGCUAAAUAUAUAAGGACAAGACACAAAAAAUAUUUGUUCUGAAAUUUAAGAAAAGUAAUUACGACUUAAUUAUGUACAAUAUUCUAAAUAUGAUACUAAAAGACAUAAACACUUAUAAUGGGAAUACUAUGACUCUAAUAUUUAUAGGACUUUGGUAGUAAAAUGGGGAAGUGAAAAUUAUGAACAGAUCUAAGAAUAAUAGCUUAGACAAAGAAAAGGAAAAACUAUAAUAAAAAUGUAAAGUUGGCUCACAUGCUUGAAAUAAAAAAAUCUGUAUGCAAACUCCUACUUUCUCCAUGCCUCUGGGAGUGGGGAUGGCUCUGAUACAAAAUAGACGGGGUGACAGAAGGGCGCAGAGGACUGCCGACGAUGGCAGAUCAGUGGCUAGCAACAGAGCUCAAAACUUUCAAACAUAAAACGUGGUUUCACAACCAUAUAGGUGGCAUGCCAUACAAAAUGAAAAGCUUCUGUCAACACCACAAACAUAGAGUCUAACCUUUCCAAAAUGAUAGGUCAUUCAUGUCCAUAUAGAAGGCAAGCCAUACAAAAUCAAAGUUUUUAAUUGACACACCAUAGCUUUCUUACAAUUGAGCUACGGAUUAGCCGGUCUGCUUCAGCAAUAAAGAAUUUGUAACCCUCAAUAGGAUGGCAUGACUUUGCUACUGAGAUACAUAUCUAGAUAAGGAUGGUUAGACUUGGUAACAAAGACUUCACAACCCGCAAUGGGAUGGCAUGAAUUUUCCAAUCUUAGAACACAUGAAAUCCUUUUACUACUUACGGCAAGACUAUUUUGUAUAUAAUACAAACGGGUCUUACAUCGGCUUUACCUGUCCUAUUGCACACAAGAAUCCAUGGAACAAAAGGUGUACUAAAAUAAAUAUUAGAUCCGCAUGUUCUUUCUAAGAUAUCAAAUCAUUUCAAAAAGCUAUGGCAUAAACUAAGCCAAUUUCAUUUCAUAUACAUAGAAAUGACUUAGACAUUUAUGUCGCAUGAAGGAAGCUAACUUUAUUUCAUACUCAUGAAAAGUACCUUCAGAGUUCCAUGCUGUAGUUACAACAAGUAUAUCGCCAAAGUAUCUCCUUACCCCACUACUCCGACCUAAAUAGUCGAAGUACUUGUCACCUUGAAGAAGCUUCUCGAAAGAAAGAGAAAAGAUUUAGAAAAUUGUUGACCAUUCCUCGGAUUGGAGGUAGACUAGGCUCAUUCCUUAUUAGAUUGAGCUAUGUUUUGAUAUUAUUGUAAUAUCUUGUUAGAUUGGGAUGGUUUUAAGUAUUGGAUUGAUGAAAUAGAAGACUUAGGUUAGUUUGACUAGUUAAGCUAUAUAAAUCUUAAAGGUUGAAAAGUUUGACUUGUUUCCCUUUGACUUAUGUGGAAUAGACGUCAUUACUAAUUUGUAGCAUGAAAAUGACUUAGAAUACGAAAUAUCAGGUAAAUUACUCUAGUUUAUAAUACUUAGAGUUAGUUGGUCUAACUUGCUAACACAAGUUAAGGGUGCCUUAGUUCCAUUGGACUUAGUAAAUGUUCUUGAGUAGAAUAUCUACCUUAGGGCUAAUGGUGGCUUUCUAUACAUCUAAGAAUUGAUUUAGAUGUCGUAGCCUAGUCCGGGGUAGAAAUUGACUUAAAAUGCAAUUCGGGGAUUUAGAUGUGGACUUAUUGACCCACCUUAAGGUAAGACUUAUUAUUAGUUCCCUUAGAACUUUAGGCAUAGUAAUUGACUAGAGAGUGCCAUUUUAUGGCAAUAUUAAUGAAUAGUGUUACUUAUUGGUUAGUGUAAUGGCAUUGAGAAUAAUUCCCAAGUGGUUAUGCCAUUUUAAGCCUUGUAUGAUAAAGAUUAUGUUAAGAUAUUAAUUAUGUUAUUGCGAUUAUCUAUUGUUUGGGCUUAUGAACGUACUAUUAAAGAUCCCUUCACUAUAAUAUGGCCUAUGACAUAAAUAAUGUUUAACCAUUCUAUGAAUAAGCCAUUUAUUAUGUCAUGCUUUAAUUAUUGCUCUUGCUAUUGAUAAAUUAUCUUUAGGCCAAAAGAAGGCCAACGAAUACACUACUAAUGAGCCAUUGUUCAUGUUAUCUCUUUUUGUUAUGCCAAAGAUCAAAACGACUAGAUUAUGGAUUUUGUAAAUAUGAGUCAUUGAUUAUAAGUUUAAUUAAGACAUUGUUGGGCUAGUAUUCAGGCCGUUAAUUAUUUAAUUGUCCAAGUUAUUAUCAUUAUUAAUAAUUAUGCUAAUAAAUUAUAUUAGAAAUCCUCCUUAUAUCGAGAUUAGAAAUGAUGAUGUAAAUGGUACCUGAAGGUACAGUUAUUCACUAUGGACAAGAAUGUUUGAUAGAUUAUGUCUGGACUCACGUUAUACUUUUGUCUAGUAACCAAACUAGUGAUUAUGCUAGAAAGCCUUCAUAUGGCUACUAUGGUGAGUCGUGAUACUAAGGAAUCUAGAAGGUAUAUUUAUUUACUACAUAAGAAGCUAUGCUACUAACUAUGUUGAACCCGUUAAUGCCUUGUUAUAUUUAUGUAAUAUGUUCUCAUAUAUAUAUUUGUGUAAAUUGUCCUUGACGUCUAAUGAUAGAUGUAAAGGUAUGCUUCUCCUUACUUCUCUUUUACUUUAGCCCUCUAGGGGCAUGUCUUUUACUUUAGCACUUAUGGGGAUUUUCAUUUACUUUAUCCUUCAUGGGGAUUGUCAUUUACUUUAACCAUUAGGGGUUUGUUCUUUAUUAUUUAUAUAUCAAUGUAAUAAUGAUGCCUGGUAAGGCCGAAGGUUAUAUUAAUGUGAUGAUGAUACCAUUCAAGGCCAGAGGAUAUAUUGAUUUAAUUAUGAUACCUAACAAUUCCAGAGGAUAUUAUGAUAAUAUUAUGAUACCCGAAAAGGCUAGAGAAUAGUAUGAUACCUGACAAGGCUGAAGGAUAUAUUGAUAAUAUGAUGAUACUCGACAAAGAUAGAGGAUAUUCUGAUGAUGUGAUGAUACCCAGUUUGGCUGGAUGAUAUUAUGAUUAUAUAUUAUUUCUUGGAAAAGCUAGAGGAUACUAUGAUGUUCGAUUGAUACCCUGUUUAGUCAUAGGAUAUUUUGAUGAUAAUAUGAUGUCCAAUUCGGAUAGAGGAUAUGUUGAUGUUAUGAUAAUACAAAGUUCUAAUCUGGCUCGCGUUACGUAUGGCAAUUAUAUGUUUAUUUAUAUUCUUGUGUAGUUGUUUAUAGUAUUUAUUCAGUUUUGGUUAUAGUCUUCUAAUGAGUUAAGAUAUAAAGUUGUAUAGUUGUUGACUUAAGAAUGAAAGAUUCUUAGUGAUGGAUAUUACUUAAGUGGCUAAUAGUGACUAGUGGAUUCAUGAACAUUAGUGAUAAAGAGGACUAGUCGCAUUGAUAGUUGUUAAUUGGGAUGAUUAUAAUCUUAUGGUGGUUAGUGAUAAUUGCUUUAGUGAUAGAGAUGAAUAGGUUCUACUAAUGACUAAGUUUAUUGGAGUUGAUUAAUUAUUUAACAAGGAUUUGUCGACUAAUGAUGGUAGUUAAUAAAAAUAUUUUAAUUGAGACAUAAAUUAGUGUAUAAAGGGUGAUUAGUUAUCUUUUUUUAGAUGGUGACUAGUGUGAUUACACUAGCUAGAAAUGAAUAUUGGUUAAUUAUCGAAUAUGGUCUAGUGAUGAAUCUUGACUAGAUGGCUUGUAUUGGCUAGUUAGUGAAUAAUAAUUAGUCUUUGACCUGUGAAUAAUGAUUACGUGAUGAACAAUGGAUAGAAAAUAAUUAGGGGUCAUAUGAUGACUAGUGAGUAGUUGGAUUAGUACUAAGCAUUGGCUAGCUAAUAAUGAGUGAAUAGGAUGUAUUGAUGAGAUGGAUUCCUAUUUAGUGGUGGGCUUACAAUUAUGAAGUUAAUGGCAUAUGUUAUUCAAUUAUGAUUAUUGGUGAUGAUAAUGAAUGUUGGCAAAUGGCCAUUUGAUGGAAAUUGUGGAAAACUUUGGAUAAUGAUAAAGUUUGUUAUAUCUAUUGAUGAAUUGAUUCUUUUAUGCUCUCUUGGAUGUGUUCUCUGGUGGUAUGGAUGUCGUGAAUGAAUCUUUACUUUAUUCUCUCUUAAGUGUACUCUUCUGUGGUAUAGGACAUUAUGAUGAGUUAUUUACUUUGUUCACUAGAUGGUGUAUGAGCACCAACUUGUUACUUGUGCUUGUUUGUGAUUGUACUUAUAUUGCCUUAUCAUUUUGAUUCAUUUAUUCCUUAUGCUUGAUGAUAUUGGAAUGCACUGAUACCUUAUGUUAUAUUGUUAUUUCCAUAUUUCAUGUAGCUAUGCAUGGCGAUAUUAGAAUACGUUGAUACCUUAUGUUAUAUUGUUAUUCUGAUAUUUCGUGCUUGUAAUAAACAAAAAUAUUUCCAUGUAUUGAUGCCUUAUUUUAUACUAUUAAUUUGAAUUGUUUACUUAUUAUAUACAGUGAUGAUGAAGAUAACUUAGGUUUGAUUUUGUACCUUGACUUAGGUAUGAUUAUCUUGCACUUUAUCAUUAUUAUAUCAUGAUUUAGCUCAGUAAGCCGAUGUGCCCACUGAGUACCCACUGUUUUGGUACUCAUACUAUACUUCUAUAAUUUUUAGUGCAGAUUCGAAUAUUAGCUAUCGUUGUUGAUAGUGGUUCAUGCAGUGAUUGAUUUUCAGAGAUAGAGUGAGCUCGUGUAGUCGAGUUACCAGAUUUACAUCCAACUCUUGUAUUCAAUCCUUAGCAUUUGAGACAAAUGUAUUAACUAUUCAAGAUUUGGAAUUUUAUUGAUAUCAUUAGUUGCUCUUGUACUAGAUCUACCAACUUUUGGGAUUGGUAUCUUAUAUUACUAUUUAUUCUAUCUAGAAACCUUAUGUUAGUAAUUGAAUUUCACCUAUGUUGGGCAUUUCUUACUUGAUUAACCCAUUGCAUUUGAUCUAAGUCAUGGUAUUGGCUUACCUAGAGGUGGAAAUUGGUAGGUACCAUCAUGACUCAUAAAUUGAGUUGUAACAAACAUAGGGUUAGGUUUAGAUAAAAAAAAUUUAUAUAUAUAUAUAUAUAUAUACAAAUAAAUUUGAUAUAUAUAUAUAUAUAAAUUAUACAUAUANNNNNNNNNNNNNNNNNNNAUAUAUAAUAAGUUCUAUUUUCAUAUUUAUAUUUAUUUUUGUUUCUAUAUAUAUGAAAAGAAAUUUUAAAAAAUAUUUUGAUUUAGAUUUUAAUAAAUAAUCUAUUAAUUUUAAUAUGUCUUGGUGAUAUUUUUGGUCUAGCUAUUUAACUUUUAUUAUAUUUAUGUUAGUUUAAAUAUAUAUAUAUGAUAAAAUAUAAGAAAAGUUAAAUAGCUAGACCAAAAAUAUAAUUAAGAAAUAUUAAAAUUAAUUUAUUAUUUAUUAAAUCUAAAUUAAAAGAUUUUUUAAAUUUCAUUUCUUAAAAGUGGACGCAUAAUUAAAUAUAAAUAUAAAAAUAGAAAUUAUCAUGAAUGGUGAAUCUAUUUUUUAUUUCAUAUAUAUUUAUGUAUAUAUAUAUUUAAAUCUUUUGUUCACAAAUUUAAAAUAAAAUUUACUAAAUAUGAAAUGAAAGUAAAAUUAAAGAGUCGACAAAAUAAAUAUUUAAUAUUAAAAAUAUGUAAAAUUUUGGGGAGAGUCAAAAAUCCUGUGUCUACACAUAAUAUAUAUUUGUUACAUAACAUUUGAAUAACUGUUAUAGAGAGAUAAUUUUACAAAGACUGUACCGCGAAAAUUAUAUCAUUGUUAUUAUAAGUAGAAUAAUGUUAUAGAGAAAUAAAAUAUAACAUGAAAAAUUAGUUCUAGGGAAAUUUUGGUUGCUAUAGUAAAAUCACAUUACACUGAGGUGAAGUCAUAGAGAUUUUUGAUUGUAUAUGAUUUUUGUGGGUAUGGACAUCUGUAGUGACCCUUUGGGUCAUUUGUAGUGAUUUCACGUAUUUUUGUUAUUAGUGAUUUUCCAUAGUUUCCCUAAAUCAUUUAUGACUUAUUGAAAUUAAUAGUUUGGUUACCAAGUAGAUUAUUUGAUUUACAUCCAUUUCCCUGUUUAGAUGUCUUCAUUAAUUUUAAAUAACCACCAAGUGAAAACUUUAGUAAACCAAUGUCGGAUGUGAAUUCUGACUAUGCUAGAAGCUUUGGAAGAUCGAUUAGGUUGGGUAGAUUUUGGUUUGGGUCCUGCUGCAUCCGAACUCAUUUUGACCUAUUAGUCAAAAAAUUGUUAAAUUAGAAAUUUAGGUGUGGCUUUUACAAUGCAGCCAAAAUCUCAAAAUAAAUUUGGUUGUAUAUUUUGUAUGCUCAUAUUGGACUCCAAAUGCAUCCUGAGGCAUUGGCCGAAACUUGAAAUUUAUUUUAAGUUUCAACUAUCGUUUGGUACAACAAGAGUACCGUAGUCGUGGAGGUUGUAUCAUAAUCAUAAUACCUCAAUCUCGAUCUACGUAUUCAUGAUCUCGUGAAUCGAGGGUUUGGGAAGGCGUAUUUAAAUUCCCUUUAAGUCGAGAAUCGGCUAUUUUCUCUCUUUCUUUAAUUUCCAUAAAUCCUAAAAGGGUGUGUAGUCCAAAAAUUGAGUUCUGGGGUUGAUUGAGAGAUUGAAUAACUUGCAUAUUCGUGAUUGACAUUGAAUCUAAGGUAUGAAUGUUUCAUUUGAUGCAAAACCCCAAAUAUCUUAAGGUUAGAUUUUAGCCCAAAUGUGAUUGGUUGGCACCAAUUUAUUGAGGGAUAUAACUUCUUAAUUGUGUUUGAACAAUAGGUUCAUCUCGAAAACUCAUUUUCCAUUUGUGGGAUCCACCUUGGUGCUUUUGGUAUUGUUUUAUACCCGAAGAACAAUGGUGCAACAUUGGUAUCAAAGUUCUUGUAAUAAUGCAUAUAUUGUGUUUUUGAUAGCUUGGCUCCUUGAAGAAUCUUCGUGGAAAAGGAAAGCGAAGAUUCUUAGUUCAUGAGCUAUAUUUGGAUACGAGAUAGGUUGGGUUUACUUAUGGUUAGAUUGAACUUUAUUAUAGUAUGACUUUGGUAUCGUGAUAAAAUUAUGUAGGUUUGUAGGUGUUGAAAUAGUAUAUGGUAAAGAUAGGAUUAGUUAGUCCAUUUAGGCUAUUGAGCUCAUAGAAUAUGGUACUUGACUUAUAGUCUUGAACCUUGGUUAGUUGGACUUGUUAUCUCAUGAAUAACAUGAGAAUGCUCUAGAUGCUCUAGCUAGAUGAAAGUGACCUUUGGUAAGUUGACCAUUAUUGUGUGUAGUUAUGGAAAUUUUCCUAGUAGCUUUGUAUGAAUUGAUAUUAAUACUUGAGAAAGAAUUAUACCACAGAACUAGUGUGGAAUGACAAACCUCUAAGACAUGACUUAGAAAUCUUAGCUUAGUGCUAGGUAGAAGUUACACUUAACAACGAAUUAGGUUAUUACAAGUGAAACUUGACCUGCCUUAAGUUUGGACUAUGUAGUUUUAUAAGUGACCUAGAUACUUGUUAAACACUUAGAAUAUGCCUUUGGUAAUAUGAUGGUUAACCCUGGUAAAUGAUUUAUUUAUGUUAUUGGUGCUGGAAAUGGUAUACAUGAUUGGUUGAUAGGUUAUUGAUCAUGCUUGUAUAUCAACGAAUUAUCAUAGAGAUUUAACCCAUGUAUAUGAUAUCACUUAAAUCAUUGACUAAAUUACAAUGCCGACCUUGGAUUAUGCUAUACUCAUAUAAUGUUCAACCCUGGUGAGUAAUCUAAUAUUUGUUCUAAAAAUCCUCUUGUGGGAAAAAUACAAAUUAUGCUAAUAAAUAGGGGAUCUAGAAAUGAUACCCGAAGGCCCCGUGUGCCCAUGCUAUUGAUCUUGUUAAGCCCGAUGAUGUGUUGAUUGUCCAUACAAUAUGAUUAUACUUGUUCAUAUUCUUAGUAAUAUAUUGUAUUGAUAAUGAGUGAUGAGGUACGAAGGUAUGUCUUUCCUUAUUUCUCUUUCACUCUAUUCCUCAUGAGGUUUGCAUUUAUUAUGGAUUUGAUUGCUAAUAUAUAUUUAUGCUAUGAUAAAUAUUAAUUCUAUGGUGAAUAUUGAUGAUGUGAUGAUGCUCGAUAAGUUCAGAGGAUAUAUUGUUGAUAUGAUGAUGCCCGAUAAGUACGGAGGAUAUAUUGAUGGUAUGAUGAUGCUCGGUAUGUCCGGAGGAUAUAUUCAUGAUAUGAUGAUGCCCUGUGAUUUCAGAGGAUAUAUAGAUGAUAUGAUGAUGUGAUCCCAGGGGAUGUUGAUAUUAUGAUGAUACCCAGUAAUCCCGGAAGAUAUAAUGAGGCUAUAUAUGGUAAGCAUGCAUAUUUAUAUAGAUGUUUAUGUGUGAUGAUGCUCUUCUAUGAUUACCUUCUAAUGUUCUAUGAGGGUAUUAUGUUAUUCUUGAUGUUGCCUAUUAUUGUUCUUUAUUGCUAAUCACUUGUAAAUCGGUGUAGUUCUUUCUUGUGCUAAAUAGUGAGUAUAAGUGUUAUAUGUCGCAUAAAGUAUUAGGACAAGUUGAUACUCCAGAUAUUGUGUGGUCUUUGAGGUCCAUAUAGUGAGUUUAGAUAGCAUUGGAUAAAUAGAUUAAUUACUGAAUAUUGCCUAUUGGAAUAAGUUAUAUAGUAACUAGUUGACUGCUAAGUUACUAUUUUACUUGAUGACUUGAAGUAUAGAAUUCUUUUUAUUUAACCUUGCUUGGUUGAAGUGUGGUAACUAACAAUUAUAGUUAUUAUAUGGUAGGUGAUGAAAAUAGGUUAGCAUGGGUGAUGAUUAAUGAUAUUGAUGACUAAUUUAUGAUGUCGCUUAGUCAUAAAUUUAGGACUUGGACAUUAUAGAUGCUAGAUACUAAAAGAUGUUGAUGGUUAGACACAUAAGAGUAUAAGUGGCCUUUUCUAGAUGGUGAUUAGUUAUAUUAUAAGGAUUAAAAAUAUGUAUUGUUUAGAUAUACCUAUGGUCUAGUGAUUCUUAACUAGAUAGUGAACAUUGGUUAUUUAGUGCAUAACGGUUAGUUACUAUCCUAUGACUAAGUUUAUGUAAAGAAUUGGUUAAGCUAAUAACUGGAGGUCCUUCGAUGACUAGAAAAUUACUAGUUAAUAAUGAGUAUUGAUUAGUUAAUAUAUAGUGCAAUGAUCAAGUGUAUCGGUGAGAUAGAUAUCUAAAUAGUGAUGCUAUUAUAGUUAUGAGUGCUUUGGCAAAUGUUAUUCAAUUGCACUAAUUUAUGAGGAUUAUGAAUGCUUGCAAAUAACCGUUGGUGUGAAAUAUGGGAAACCACUUAUAAUGAGAAGUUGAUUAUAUAUCUAUAUACGUUGAUGAUUUGAUCUUUAAUGCACUCCCCAGUAGUGUGGGGCGUUGUUGUGAGUUCCUUACUUUGUGUUUUUGGGGUGCACUCUCCGAUGGUAUGUGACAUCGUGGUGAGUUCUUUACUUUAUCCUCUAAUAGAUGUAUGUGCAUUAGAGUGGUAUUUAUGCGGUUGUAUGUGUAUUAGUAUCGCUAUACGCUUCUGAAUCGAUUACCCAUUAUAUAUGAUUAUAUGGGAAUGUAUAAAUAUACGAUGUCAUAUUAUUAUUCGAGUUGAUCAUUUAUUUUAUACAGUGGUGAUAAAUAUGAUUAAGGUUUGUUUCUGCACCAUGACUUAGAGAUAUUAUCUUAUUUCAUAUCAUUUUUAUAUCUUAAUUUAGCUUAGUCGGCCUAUGAUGCCUAUCGUGUACCCAUUACUUUGAUACUCAUACAACACAUCGAUACAUUUUUGGUGCAAACACAACUACUAGUUGUCACCACUGUGUUGAGUUCAUACAGUAUUGAUAUUCUUGAGAUAGGGUGAGCUCUUAGAGUUUCAAGUUGCCCAUUUCCCUCUAUCCUUGUUCAUUUUUUUGUAUUCGAAAUGAAUGUAUUGAGUAUUCAAGAGUAAUUAGUUAUAUUUCCUACUAUCGAAAUUAGAUCCUCUUGCACUGAUAUUACCAGGUUGUGGGAUUGGUAUCAAUAUUUUGACUAUUUCUUAGUGGAAGAUUGUUGAUUAUAAUUAUGUUUAUUUAUUUAUGAUUGGUUGGGCAUUUCUACUAAUGUAACCUAUUUCCUUUGCUAUGAGUUGUGGUGCUGGCUUACCUACUGGUGGGUGUUAGUAAGUGCCAUCAUGACUCAUGAAUUUGGUUAUGACAAAUUGGUAUCAGAGCCUAGGUUUCACUUGUAUUGUUAUUACAAGAACAAGUGUUUAAUAGAGUUCUACGGAUCGGAACAUUAUCAUCUAUUUCCUAUCUUCAAAAGGCUAUGGGAAUUCCUUAGGAGUCCUUCACUAAUUCCACUCGUAUCUUGCUAUGAAUCUAAGUUGGUUUGUAGGAUAUUUUCUUAUCCUUACUCUUUCGUAGAUGCCUAGGACACGUGCUAUAGCUAUGCGUAAGGAGGGUCUUGAGACUGCGCCUAGGGAUCUUACUAUUCUUCAAGGAUAGCCUCGUGAUGUGUCCCUAGUUAGGGAUCAGGAUGGGCUACUUUCUAAAAGCCACAUUCCUACACCUAAGCUAGAGAUUCCUCUACCACAACUAAUGGUGGGCCAAGGACCAGUCCAGGAUUUACCAGGUUAUAUUCCUAUCUUUGCUUAGACACACCUUUCUUCACUAUUAGGGAUUAUUUAUGGUAUUUCGUAUGAUGGUGUAAAGACUACUGAGAUAGGAGUGGAAUUUAUAGCUACAACUUCUAGGGCUGAGGUUCCUCCUAUGUUGGCAAUUGUUCAACUGAUGGAUGCUCAGCCAGUUAUGAUCCAUCCUAUUAUGUCUGUUGAGGAGAAGAAGAUACUAGGUAGAUAUUUGAGGUAGGCAAUGCCAAGGGUUUCUAGUUCUUUUGGAGAGGGUGCAUUUGAGUUGCUUCUUGCUUGUAGGAUAAACUUCACGGUUUAGGCCUUCUUGAGACUCGUGGCGUGGAUUACACAAUAUUUUUGUUGGAUUUGGCUGCUCGACACUAGUGGAGAGGUUUUAUGAGUUCUAGGCCAGUUGGAUCUUCUCCUCUCAUGGACAUAGUUCUCUGAUAUAUUCUUGGAGAAUAAUAUGCCACACAUCUUGAGAAAUCAACUAAUGGAUUAGUUUACCAUAUUGGAUUAGGGUUCUAUGACAGUCACCGAGUAUGAGGCUCAUAUCUAUGAGUUGGCCAGACAUGGAUGGCUACUCAGAUUUUUGUUUCUGCAGGUAGGACCUCUACUAAAGUUACUGAUCAUGCUAGAGUGAUGGAGGACUUACAUCGUGAGUGUCAUGAUAAGAGGCCCUAGUUUCAGCGCAAAUUCUAUGUGAGCCAUAGCAAUUCCUGAUUCAUAGGUUGUAGUUCUCAUGUUGGGUAUCCUUUGCGUCCAUAUUUUUAGCCUGAGAAGUAGACUAGUCAAAUAGUUUAGGUAGCUCAUAAGACUACUAAUGGAGGUUAAUUUUGUACUAGUAGUUGCCCUGGCAAGGAUAGUGAUCAGCCUUUUCGAGGUGUAUCUUCAAGAUGUGCUAGAUGUGGUGGUUACUCUAGUUAUGGCAGAUUAUGAGUUCUAGUUUUGCUCAUGGCUCUUAUUUUACAUAUGUGCUUCCAGGUUAUUUUUCAUGAGAUUUCCCUAGUCGUACGGCAAUGUCUAUUUCAGCCAUGGGUGCUCCCCCUAUUAGGGUGGUUUAUCCUUUGGGUAAAGUAGGUUUUCGAGGUCACAAUGCUGGUUAUCGGGGUGCUCAAGGUGGUACUCAGGUAGGCUAGAUAGGAUGUUAGUUACGUGCCCAGCUAGGUGGCGGGCGUUGUUAGUUAUAUGUGGUACCUGCUAGAUCUGUGGGUAAGACUUCAGAUCUUAUAGUUACGAGUAUAAUUUUUGUAUACCAUGAGUUAGAUCUUUCUUUAUUGAUCCCACAUCCAUAUAUUCUUAUAUAUAUACUUAUUAUGCAACACAGUUGGAGUUGACUAGUGACUUAUUAUCUAUGCCAUUGCCUGUAUCUACUUCUAUGGGUGAUUUUUUUGUAGUUGAUCAAGUACUCGGAUCAUGUGUUAUGAUAGUUAGUGAUGUGGAUACUUAAGCUGAACUUUUUAUUAUGGAUAUUUGGUAUUUUUAUGUGAUUCCGGGCAUAGACUAGUUAUCUCACUAUCAUGUGGUCAUGCAUUAUUUUACCAAGACCGUUACCUUAGCCAUCCCUAACGUGCCCCCAAUCAUGUGGAAGGUAGCGGUUAGCCACCAACCGAUGGGGAUUAUUUCUUAUGUUUGUACGAGGAGACUAUAUCAAGGGGUUACAAGUCUUAUCUCACUUAUAUAUAUAUGAUACAGGUAUACAGUGUUCGUUGCUUGACUCUGUUCCUAUUCUUUGUGAGUUUCCUGAUAUGUUCCCUACCAACCUUCCUUUUUUUCUCCCUGAUCGUAAGAUUGAUUUUUCUAUCAACCUUGAGCCUGUCAUCGGACCUAUUUCUAUGGCACCUUACGAUAAGUCUCUUGCUGAGCUUAAGGAGCUUAAUUUUCAACUUUAGGAUCUUCUUGAUAAGGGUUUCAUUAGACCGAGUAUGUCCCCGUAGAGAUCUCAUGUAUUAUUAGUAAAACAAAGAUGGCUCCAUGUAUAUGUCUAUUGAUUAUAGGUAGCUUAAUAAGGUGACCGUGAAGAAUUAUUAUCCUACACCUAGAAUCUAUGAUUUGUUCGACCAUCAUUAGGGUGAAGCCAUGUUUUCUAAGACUGAUUUGAGGUUCUGUUAUCAUUAGUUGCGGAUUUGCGCUGAGGAUGUCCCAAAGAUGGCUUUCAAGACCCGUUAUGGUCAUUAUGAGUUUUUGGUAAAGUCUUUUGGGCAGACUAAUGCCCAAGUUGCAUUCUUGGAUUUAUUGAACUAUGAGUUCAAACCUUAUCUUGAGUACUUCCUUAUUGUAUUCAUUGAUGAUAUUCCUGGGUAUUUGAGGCGUAGUGAGAAGCAUGCACAAUAUUUGAGCAUAGUGAUCAAGACUUUGAGAGAUCAUGUGAUUUUUUCCAAGUUCUCUAAGUGUGAGUUUUUCUUGAGUCUGUGUUAUUCCUUAGACAUGCUUUAUCAAAAGCAGUAUCUAAGAUUGCGGUGAUACGUUAUUGGUAUAGUCCUACAUAUCUGACUAAGGUUCACAAUUUCAUUUAUGUGGUCGGUUAUUAUAGGCACUUUGUUGAGAGCUUUGCUACCAUUUCAGCCCCUAUGGCUAGAUUUACUUUGAAGGAAGUUCCUUUUUGAUGGUUUGAGAAGUGUGAGUUGAGAUUUUAAAAGCUAAAGAAUUUUCUUACUUCAGCUCCAGUGUUAACUCUUCCUAUUGAGGGAAAGGGAUUCACUAUGUUUUGUAACUCUUCAGGUCUUGGUCUUUGUUGUGUUUUGAUGUUGCAAGGCCAAGUCAUUGCUUAAGUUUCUAUACCUCUUAAACUGAUGAGCGCAACUACCCACUUAUGAUUUUUAGUUUGUGGUGGUAGUUUUCAUGCUUAUGAUUUGGAGGCAUUAGUUGUAUGUAGUGCAUUGUGAUAUUUUGAAUGAUCAUCGCAGCCUUCAACAACUUAUGACCCAGCGAGAGUUUAACGCUCGCUAGCAUAGAUGGAUGGAGUUUCUAAAGAACUAUGAUAUUUCUAAUUUAUAUCAUCCAGGUAAGGCAAAUAUGGUAGUUGAUGCCUUGAUUCGCAAGGUUGUGAGUAUCGGUAUCUUGGCAUCCAUAUCAGUUUCUCAAAUGCCCUGGCACAUGAUAUUCAGUCCUUAGCCAAUUUGAUGGUUCACUUUGAUAUUUUGGAUCCUACGACGAUUUUGGCUUAUCUGGAGGCGAGGCCCUCCAUAUUUAAGUAUAUUUGUGACCUUCAGUAUGAGUAUAGAAAGCUAUGAUUCCUCCAUAACCAAUUGGUGACUGGUGAGUAUGGGAGACACACUGUUGACCCGAGGGUAUUUUAAGAUUUUAUAGCCUUAUUUGUGUUCCCCAACUUGUGACUUGAAUCAAUUGAUUCUUUAUUUGGCUCACAGUUCAAGAUAUUUUAUUCACCCUGGUAUAACAAAGAUGUGUAGAUAUUUGAGGCAGCAUUACUGGUGGGACGGUAUAAAGAGAGAUGUGGCAGACUUUAUGGCUCGUUGCCAAUAUUUUUAGCAGGUUAGCGUCGAGGAUCAGAGUGUCUAGGAGGAUUAACUCAGAGGCUACCCAAUCCUGAGUUGAAAUGGGAAUGGAUUACUAUGUACUUCAUUAGUGGUUUUCCUCAUACUUCUCAUGGUAUUAAUGGUAUUUGGGUUAUUGUGGAUCAUUUGACCAAGCUGGCAUAUUUCAUUCCUUUUCAGAUGACUUUCAGUGCUUAAAUAUUAGCGCACAUUUAUGUUCAAGAGAUAGUUCAUUUGCUUGGAGUGCCUAUUUCUAUCAUAUUAGAAUUUGGCUCCAUAUUUACUUAGUGAUUUUGGAGUGCAUUCCAAGAGGAAUUAAGUACUCGAGUGGAUUUGACUAUUGCUAUUUACUUAUAGAUAGAUAGUUUGUCCGAGCAGACUAUUCAGGUACUUUAGGAUAUUUUAUGAGCAAGUAUUAUGGAUUUAGGAGGACAAUAGGAUAAGCACUUAGCAUUGGAAGAGUUCUCAUACAACAAUAUCUAUCAUUCGAGUAUUGAGAUGGUGCCUUAUGAGGCUUUGUAUGGUAGGAGAUGUUGUUAUCCAAUAGGAUGGUUUAAUACUUCUAAGGUGAGACCUCAUGUUACAGAUUUUAUUCUGGACUCAUUGGAUAGAGUCGUGUUGAUUUAGGAUACGCUGAAAGAAGCCCAGAGUAGGGAAAAGGCCUAUGUUGACCGUAGGCACCAUGUCUUAAAAUUUGGAGUUGGUAAUCGUGUGUUCCUUCCUGUUUAACCUAUGAGGGAUGUGAUGAGGUUCAGAAGGAUGGGUAAGCUUAGCCCUCGAUAUAUUUGUACUUUUUAGAUACUUCAUGUAGUUGGUGAAGUAGCCUAUGAGUUAGCCUUGCCUCUAUAUUUUGUUGUUGUUCAUCUAGAUUUUCAUGUCUCAAUGUUAAGAAAGUAUAUUCUUGAUCCAUCCUAUGUGCUUAGAUGGGACUCAGUCAAGUUAGAUGAGCAAUUGACCUUUGUGGAGGAGCCCAUGCUUAUAUUUACUAGUAAUGUGAGGCAGUUAUAUACUAGAGGAAAUCCUAUAGUUAAGGUUCAGUGGAAGCACCGUCCAUUGGAGAAGGCAACUUGGGAUAUAGAGAGAGAUGUAGGCCCAGUAUCCUCAUCUAUUUGUGACUUUAGGUACUUUUUUUGACUUUAACUUUCGGGGAUGAAAUUUCCUUAGUAGUGGAUGUUGUCAUAACCCUUCAGCUCAUUUUUUGUGAUUAUUAUUAUUUUUAUUGUUAGAUUUUUUCUAUAGCUUCCCUAAGUCAUUUACGACUUUCUUUAACUGAUAGUUUGGUUAACUAGUAGUUCAUUUGGUUUUUGAACCAUUUCCUUGUUUAGAAGUCUUUGCUGGUGUCAAAUGACCACCGAGCAAAGCCAUAUUAAAUUGAUGUCACAUGUAAAUUUUGGCUGUACCAACAGCUUUAGAAUAUAGAUUUUAGGUUUGGUAGACCUUUGGUUCUGGUCCUGCUGCGCCGGAACUCAUUUUGAACUAUUGGUCGGAAAGUUGAUAAUUUGGAAAUUUUUGUAUGGGGUCCAUAUUUGGUCCAAAUGACCUCAAAUGGAAAAUGCAACUUCACCAACAUAGCUAGAAUGUCAAAAUAAGAGUGGUUGCAUAUUUCGUUUACUUAUAUUGGACUCCAGAUGUAUCCCAAGUCAUAAGCUGAAACUUUGAAUUUAUUCCAAGUUUCAACUGUCAUCUGGUGCAGUAAGAGUACCGCGAUCGUAAAGGCUUUAUUGUUAUUGCGAUACUAUAAUUGUGGUCCACAUGUUCGCUAUUGUGUGAAAUAGGGUCCUAGGAAUGGGUAUUUAAAUGCACUUUUAGUCGAUAAUUGGUCAUUUUCUCUCUUGAUUUGUGUUCCAUAAACCAUAAAAGGGUUGUAGUCUGAAAAUUGAGUCUUCAGUGUUGAUUGGGAGCUUUAAUAACUUGAGCAUUCAUGAAUAAUAUCGAAUAUAAGGUAUGAAUCCUUCAUUAUUAGCGUCGAAUUCUUUUUUAUUUGAAUAUGAAUCCUUCAUUAUUAGCGUUGAAUUCUUUUUUAUUUGACUCAAAAUCCCAAAUGUCUUAAGGCUUGAUUUUAGCCCAAAUAUGAUUGAUUGGCACCAAUUUAUAGAGAGAUAUAACUCCCUAUUGGAAUUUUUACAAUGGGUUGGUUUUGAAAAGUCGUUUUCCAUUUAUGGAACCAACUUGGUGGUUGGUGGUUUCAUUUUGGACCCGAAGCACAAUGGUGCAAUAUGGGAAAAAAUAAUAUCUAUUUUGAAAAAGUAUAAGAGGUUAAUUGGAUAGUCGAUAAAGGACUCUCGGGAAUAGGUCUCGCUUUAUGCAUGCAAAAAAUCAUAUUAAAGUAAAAUAGCAAACCUUUAGUAUAAUGACAAUGCAAGAUGAAUCAAAAGUUAGAAGAGGUUGUACAAAUGGAUGUACUAAAGCUUUUUUAGGCAAAAAUCAUAUUCCCAAUUCCUUCAUGUACUUGGAUUAGACCAAUCCAUGUGGUACCAACAAAAUGAGAGAUGAUUAUGGUAAAGAAUGAUAACAAUGAAUUAAUCCCUAUGUGAAUAGUUAUAGGGGGUAGGAGGUGUAUAAAUUAAAGGAAGUUGAAUGAUACAACUUGGAAGGAUCAUUUUGUUGUUCCAUUCAUUGAUCAAAUGCUUGAGAAGGUGGCUUGGAAAUGAUUCUAUUACUUUCUUAAUAGGUAUUCAGGGUAUAACCAAAUAACAAAUAAACCUGAAGACAUGAAAAAGACCACAUUUAUAUGCCCUUUAGAAAUAUUAGUUAAUAGAAGAAUAUCUUUCGCUCUUUGCAAUACACCAAAAAUAUUUUAGAGGUGCAUGAUACAGAUAAUCAUUAUGUUUAAUGGAAAGUGCUUUGAGGUUUUCAUAAAUGAUUUCACUCUUUGUAUAAAUUUUUUUGUAGAUGUCUAUUAAAUAUAAAAAUAGUUUUUAAGAGAUGUAUGGAAACCCACGUAGUCCUAAACUUAGAAAAUAUAAUUUUAUAAUAAGAUAUGAAAUAGUGUUGGGACACCAAGUUUCAAAAAUUUAUGCAUCAUUUCAAAUCCCGUGAAAUCUUGCUCCAAAAAUAAACCAUAUUCUUGUUCACUAUUGAUUGUUUGUAAGAUUUCAACCCAGUGAAAGAAAAGAUAACUAGUUCACCAAUAUUGUUAUCUCCUAAUUGGAAUUUGGCAUUUGAACUCACGUGUUAUGCUAGGGAUUAAUAGGUGGGAGGAUUGUUGGGGAAAAAGGGUGACAAUCUUUUUAGUCCUAUUUUUUAUGCUAGUCAUACUUCAAAUAGUGCCUAGAUGAAUUUUGGAACCAUUGAAAAGAAUUUUUUUUGAUGUGGUCCUUGCUUUUGAGAAAUUUAUAUCUUACUUGGCUGGGAAUGAUGUAAUUGUUCACAGUGAUAACUCUACUCCCACAUAUUUGUUGUGUAAAAAGGAUGCCAAGAUUAUAAUUUUGAGACAAAUUCUUUUACUUUAAGAAUUUGAUCUCCAAAUUACUGAUAGAAAGGGGAAUUGAAAACCAUGUUGUGUAUCAUCUUUCUAGACUUGAAAACUCUCCAUUGGAGAAGGUCAAAACUAAAAAAGAUUUUUGAAAUGAACAACUACUCUCAAUGGCAUCGAAGAUGGAAUGACCACUGUUGUUAGCUGAUAUAGAUAACUUUUUUUUAUCGAAUGAAUGCCUCAAAACCUAAUCCAGAGGUAAAACAUUAUUUUUCGAAUGAGCUUUUGUUGUUUAAAAUUUGUGCAAUGGUACAAUUCAAAUACGCGUUCCUAAAAUAGAGAUCACAUAUAUCUUAUCUCAUUUUAAUAAUGGAGAAGUUGGAGAAUUUUAUAGAGGAAAUAGAACAAAAUAAAAAUUAAUGGAAGUAAGAUACUAUUGGCCAUCAUUAUUCAAACAUACUCGAGAAUAUGUGACCAAGUGCGACAAUUGUCAAAGCCUAGGUACUAUUAGUAAAUGAGAUGAGUGAUGAGUCAUUUAUUUUACCACUCAUUUUCACUUAAUAUUUGUGAACAUUACUUUGUUUGAAUGAAUAAAUGAGACAUAAUUGUGAUUAAAUGCACUAAUAUACACAUUUUCUAGGAAUAGAGUAGAUGAGAUGGAAAGAUGUAGAUUGGGGAUGAAAAUGAUCAAAAGAAAAUAAAAAAGUGCAGAUGAACACCUAGAGCAGAAAUAACAUCAACUAUCACGGACGCAGUAUGAGGACCACAAAAGUGGUGAGUCAAUCAGUUCAAUAAGCACCGAUCGCGGGAGCCGAUUGUGGUAUCAGUAAAGCGGUCGCGACAGAGACUAUUCCUCGCGGGCUAGAGAAAAAUUUCAGCCUAGGGAUAGAAAUGAAAAUGCACGCUGCUAAUCCCGAAUUGGACAAAAAGAGGACUCAAACCCUAUUAUCCAUCAUAUUCAACCUUUCCUAAUUUUUUUAGGUUUUGCUAUAGUUCAUAGCCUCUAUUUUUUGAGAAGAGAAUAUUGUAUAAAUUUUGGGUGAAAAAUACAUUGGAAUAGCUUCCAUAUGGAGGAUUAGCUUACUCCCAUUGAUAAUUUAUUUGAUACCUAAGUGGGAAGUAGCAGACACUAAGUCUUAAAUAAAUUAUUUCAAUGUCGAAUGGGUAUAUCUUUGCUUAUUUAUCUUAUGUGUAGCUAGAUAUCCAUCUUGGGGUUAUGUUUUAAUAGGGGUCAAAUUUGUUGUUGGUUAUUUUUGUUAUAUUUUAUUAGUAAUUCAUGUUAAUGGGUUUUUACAUUGAUUGACCAAAUUGGUUGGGAUUUUUGGGUUAAAGCUCCAAAUACCCAUAUGGGUUUAUGGGUGACAAUCCCACACUCUUGAAAGCAACAAUCUUUGAAAGAAGGGUUGGGUGAAUUUUAGGAAUCUACAUCAUCCUUGAAAGAGUACUAUAGAGACCAAAGCAAUGGUAGACAAUUUUUAAUAUAGUUUUCAAAAUUCUAACUAUCUUAGACAUAAGAGUGAUUGUGAAGUUGACUAUACCAUAAGCUUUAUCCUAGAAAUUGGGAUGCCUAAAUUGAGGUUAGGUUACCAAUUAUUGAAUACACCUAUUUGGUAUUUAAAAGAAUCAAUAGGUGAUAGUUUGUUUUUUUGUGGAAAUGCUAGCAUCAAAAUCUAUAACUGAACCUGCCCAUACUUGAUCUACCAAAAAUGAUGUUAACUGUUAGCAUCCACGUGUUAUCUUUUGUUAGUAAGGAAUAACCCUAAGACCCGUGCCUAAUUGAUUAUACUUUAAUUAUUCGUAACCCCAAAUUAAUACUAGAAAAACCCAAAAACAAAUAUUAGUGUUAAUGUCAUUCUUACCCCUAAUUUUUAUAUAUUUGUAAUAGCAGUUUGAAUUCAACAAGUAUCCAUUAUUUUGAAUUAACUUGAUUGUCACUCAUAUUAUUUCUCCUGGAUUUUAUCCGGACUUCAAAGUUGGGUAAAUAUAUUAACAAAGACCACCUUGCACUUAAAGUGACAUGCAAGUUGAGCAUUAUCAAAAAUGGUGCUGUUGCCAGGGAACAAUUUGGAGUAUUACAUAAGUUUGAAAUUCUAGCUUACUUGCUUGAAUCCAAGCCUGUAAAUAUGUGUUUAUGAUUUUCUUUUGUUUCUUGUGUUAUGUAGAUUUUUGUUUUUGGUUACUUUUCUAUGUGCCAUCUUCCGACAAAUAUGAUUUUGAUAGUUGAAAGUCCUAUCUUGACAAUCCAUGUCCAUAUUAUGACGGACCCCACUUUGGAUGAGAUUGCAUAUAUGCUCCCCUGACAGAGAUGGAAACACAAUCUUAAUCCUAUUGGGAGUAUGAUUCUUCUUUGUGUGGUGGUUCAGAUGAACAUUGGAGUGAUUCCCAAAUGACCAUCCUUUUAUUAUGCUAACUGAGUUGCAAAUUCUUAUUAUGAGUUUGAUGGGUCUUAUGAUGAGACGAAGGAAGAGUAACAAACUGGAUCCUAUAUUUUUUAUGCAAUGCUUCAAACUAUUUUAGAUCGGGUAACUACAUGGAGAGAGAAUGUGCAUGACAUAUAUCAAUCUAAUGAGGCAUUCAAAUAGGAAAUUGUCAAGAUAGAGAAAAUAGGUGAGGAAUCAAAACUUGCAAAGACCACUACCUUGCCGAUUUUCAAAGAGGAGCUUAAUCAAGAAGAGAAAAUAGGAUAUAAUGAUAAGCUUGGUAGUAAAGAAUCCUCGGUGAUUUCCUAAUCAACAAAAUCAAAAUAUGUGGAGAUGUCCAAAUAAAGGAAAUGAUGCUAGAAUCUAUAGAAGAAGCCAAACAAAUCUCUUAUGAUGAAUCUAGACCAUUUCGGGGUGAAAGUUCUAAUGAUAAAAUGAUUCCAAAUUUUGGUGAUAGACCGCAGUCAAACCAUUUUCAAGAAUGUUCCUAGAGGAUGUGAUGAUAAUCCAUCCACCAAGAAGAAUGUUGAAUUGUGGGUAGAAGGAGUAUGAUUCCCAUAUUUUGGGAUUUGACCUUCCAAAAGAGCUCAUAGAAACCCCUCCAUCAAAGGACAUGGAAUUUAAAUUUUGAUGUACAUAUAGUCGCCUAUUGAUGUCCUCACAUUUUCCCAAAGAGCCAAAUCAAAAAUUCGAUGUGAAAUUUGGUAAAAGGUUAAAGUCAUCACAAUGAUGAGAUAAAAGCUCUCUCACCUCCAGCAUGGUAAACUUUGCCCUAUAAUAGAUUGAAUGACGACAUUCUUAAGGGAAAAGCGUCCUGUUUAGGUAUGGAACCAUAGAUGUAAGGGAAUGCUGAGUAUCUGUGGCAUUAAAGGUCAUAAAUGCAAGGGAAGUUUGAGUAGUUGUGGCAUUGUAAAAUGUAAAUUCGUGAUCAUAUUAUACACAUUUAGAGAAGUCUGAGGAGCGAUAUGAUUGGUUUGCCCAUAUUAAGCCAAAAUGUGAGGCUAAGCUUUGGUUGUAGCCAUAAGUUGGAAAAUUAAGCGUGGUGCUACUGCAAAACAAACAACCCCCUCCAUAUAAAAUUUUUCAAAAACUGAAGGGGAAUGGACGUUGAAACUUUGUAAAAAUAAGUUUUCUCUUUUUUGUGGCACUACAAAUUUUUGACUUAUGAAUAGUGAUAGAUACUCCAAUUUUGUCUCUAAUGAGGGGAAAUUGAGCCUCCUUGGAGAAUUUUGCAUGCCAUGUGUGGUAAGUAAAUUGUCUUUAUCUCUUGUGUACUUGUGUUAUCUAGAACUUAACCCAUUUGUCUUUCAAAGCUAAUUUUUAUUGUAUUUGGUUGGAGAAAUGAUUUUAGGUCAUCCUUGUUAUUUUGGAAACCAAUUUAUCCUAAAAAUCUUACCCAUUCAUAAAUGUAAUCCCUAGUUACCCAGUUUGAGCCUUUGGACCUUUCUUUGGCAAAUGUACUACAAGCCGUUAACCAUUCUUUCAUUCCCUAUUUUUCACCAUAACCUCCUUGAACUUAAAAGUGUAAUGUGAGGUAAAAAUCAAAGUUGGGGGUGGUGAAUAUUAAUGGAAGUAACUUUGGGGCCAUGAAUUUAUUAGUGAAAUGGCUAAAGUGCCUAAGCAUUGUAAACAGGUGAAUAGAAAAAGAAAGGGUCCAAAAAAGGAAAAUAUUGCAUUAAAAUUGCAAAAAAAAAGAAAUAUGAGAGAAUUGGUGAAUAAGGAAGCAAAAAGUAGACAUGCGAAAAGAGAGAAAACAAAGAGCAGUGGCCCAUAGUAAAAAGGCAGACAAAAAAGUGUGAUGUAGAUGUUCAAGGGAAUGUGUAGUCAUAUUCUUCCCAGAUGAUAUCCUAUCCUAAACCAAACCUGCAUUAGAAGCUAAAAAAGUCCUUUGAGAUCUUGAACUAUUUACUUUCUUUGUAGUGAAGAUUGAAAAUAGGGGAAAGCGUAUGAUAUUACACUUGUUAACAUAGAUAAUUAUUUUAUGAGGGAGAGAGUUUUUGGACUUAAAAUCCUUGUUGCCUAUUUGGUAGCUUGGUUUGUGGAAUGUGCUUCUUGUGAGGAGACAUGUGAAUGAGUUGAGGUGGGUGAUUUUUUUACCUUCCAAGCCAUGAGGCAAAUGGAGUAUAACUUAGUUUUGGUCAAAAAUGAGUCACUUCUAUAGUAUUGAUUGUUGUUUCUUGGUAACUCUUAGAAGUCUUGUGAAUCCUUAGAUAUUGCAUUUCAUGUUGAGGGGUCGAAUGAAAAAUGUUUAGCCCAUAUGCAACGAGCCACUUGCGAUAGUGACUAAGCUGAAGAAAUGGUGAGAUUUAAAGCAUAAAGUUUGCGCAUAGAUAAUUGUUGUCUCAUGGUAGGAGAUAGUGUUGCUUGAUAACAAGCAAAAACUUUAAGUUCAUGGUGUUGAUGAGUGAUGAUCUUACCACUCAUUUACAAUCAAUAUUAAUGCACAUUACCUUUUUCUUGAAUGAAUAAAUGAGACAUAAUUGUGAUUAAAUGCACUAAUAUACUUUUUUAUAGGCACCAAGUUGAUGAGAUAGAAAGAUGUGGAUUGGGCUAUAAAUGAUCAAAAUGAAGAAAAAAGUGCAAGUUAGACUUAGAACAGAAAUAGCCUCAGCUACUAUAGUUGCAGUUGGAGUAUCAUGAUUAUGGUCAAUCAAGUAGGUCAACAAGCAGUGAUCAUGAUUGCAAUAGUGUGGUCAUGGUAGAGCCUGUCCGAUCGUGGCCUACAGAAAAAUUAUAGCCCAGGGGUAUAAAAAGAAGACUUAAACCCUAUUAUCCAUCAUAUUACACCUUUCUAAUUGUUUUUAGGUUUUUCUCUAGUUCAUAGCCUCCAUUCUUGGACAAGAGAAUAUCAUAAAAAUUUUAUGUGAAGAAUAUGUUGGAAUAGCUUCCAAGUGGAGGAUUAUAUCACUCCUAUUGAAGAUUUGUUUUAGUCCUAUGUUUGAAGUAACAUUUACUAAGUCUUCAAUAAAUCAUUUCAAAGGAGAUUAUGGGUAUAUCUUUGCUUAUUUAUCUUAUGUUUAUCUAGAUCUCCCUCUUGGGGUUAUGUAUGAAUGGUAGUUAAAGUGUGUGUGGGUUGUUAUAGUUAGAUUUUUUUAGUAGUUCAUGUUAAUGGGUUUUAACAUUGCUUGACCAAAUUGAUUGGGAUGUGGGGUUAAAGCAGUAAAUACCCAUAAUGGUUUGUAGAUGAAAAUCCCAAACUCCUUAAAGCUCAAACCAUCUUAGAAAGAAGGGUUUGGGUGAAUUUUAGGAAUCUACAUCAUCCAUGAAAGUGGGAUAUGGAAGCUACAACAAUGGUAGAUAAUUACUUGUAUAGUUUGCUAAAUUUUCAGUAUCUUAGCCAUAAGAGUGUUUGUGAAGUUGACUAUACCAUAGGUAGGGAUGCCUAAAUUGAGUUUUGGUUACAACUGUUGAACACUACUUUUUCUUUGUAUUAGAAAGAAUCAAUGGGUGAUAGUUUUGUGUUUAGUAGAAAGGCUAGCAUCAAAAUAUAUAACCGAACCUACCCAUACUUGAUCUACUUAAAUGAAGUUGACUAUUAGCAUCCACAUGUUAUCUUCCCUUAGUAAGGCAUAACCCUAAGACCCAUGACUAAUUUAUUAUACUCUAAUUAUUCAUAACUCCAAAUUAAUACUUGAAAGUCCCAAAAAGAAAUUUAGUGUUAGUACCGUUCUCACCCCCCAUUUUUAUCUUUUUGUAAUAUCGGUUUGAAUUAAACAAGUAUCCAUUAUUUCCAAUUAACUUGAUUUUCACUCACAUUGUUUCUUGUUGAUUUGACCAUGACUCCAAAGCUGGUUAAAUAUAGUUAUGACAACCGCCUUGAACUUAAAUUGACGUAUAUGUUGAGCAUUAUCAUUGAGAUACACCAGAAUUCAAUUCUAGAGUUGAUAUCUUUGAUAUAUGGGGAAUAAAUUGCAUGGGCUCAUUCCCUUUCUUCCACUCUUUUGUAUAGACCCUAGUAGUAGUUGACUACGUAUCUAAUGAGUCGAAGUAAUUCUAACUAAGAAGAAUGACGCUCGUGUGGAGUGCACUAUUUUUAUAAAGAAUAUUUUUACUAGAUUUUGCAUACCACAAGUCAUCAAUGGUGAUAAUGGAUCCCAUUUUAUAACCAAACAAUUACCAUCAUUAUUGGGGAAGUAUUAGCAAACUCAUAAAAUAGAACCAUAUACCAUGCCAAAAUAAGUGGGCUAGCUGACAUGGAUAAGCAUGAGCUAAAAAUAAUCAUUAAAAAAAUAAUUAGUACACCACUCAAAGAUUGGUCAUUGUAGUUGGAUAAAGCCUUAUGGUUGUGCAAGACAGCAUUCAAAACAUCAAUAGAACCUCCCCAUACAUAUCAAUUUUUUGAAAGGGAUGUUAUUUGCCUAAAGAAAUAGAGCAAAAGUCUUACUGAACUAUUAAAUUGCUUAAUUUUAUCUUAGUAAUACAGGUGAGAUCAAACUUGUGCAGAUAGAUGAGUUGAAGGAUAUUAGAUUACAUGCAUAUGAGAAUUCAAGGAACUUUAAAGAGAAAUAAAAGCUAUGACAUGAUCAUAUUAUUAAAACAAAAGAAUUUAGGGAAAGGAGAAAGGUUCUACUCUAUAAUUGUAGACUACAUUUAUUCCCCAAAAAAUUCAAAUCAACAUUAAUGUCACCAUACGUGGUUAAGCAUGUUCCAUAUAGAUUAUGUAAUACCCCGCAUGUUUCUAAGCUAGGAAGUGAACAAGUAUUUUACGUAUGAAAUCUCCUAUCCUGUUAUUCAUACUUAAGUACAUGACUUAUAAUGAAUAUCCUAGUGAUAGGAUAGCUUAUGAUGCAUUAAGCAUGUUCAUAUGAGUCACUUAAGGUAAUAUAAGCUAAGAGUUUUUGAAUCCAUCAAGUUUUAAUGUUCGAUUUUGCAAGGGUCAUCUUUGAAUGAAUAUAAGACGAUGUUAAUGUGGUAUUUUGGCUGAUUUAGACCCACUAACGAUACCAAUUUUGCGUUAAUCCAAUAACCGAACGAAAAGUUAUGCCCAUUUUCGUGAGCAAUUGGUUAGGCGCUGUCAAACCCAAACAUAGGCGAUUGGUUAGGCACCGCCCAAACCAGCUUAGGCAAUCACUUGGGCGCCUUCAAAGUCAGUUUGAGGUGCCAAAAACACUUCGUUUUGAGUUAUUUUAAGGGUAAUUAAGUCUUUUAACACUCCUUACACGUCCCUAAACAUAACCCUACAAAAUAUAUAGCUUCUAAACAUAUUACAACCCUAUUAUCAUCUCAAAUCUCAUUAUCCAAGAGAACUAAUAGCGAAAAAUAAUUAGGGUUGCAUAACUAAGCUUGAGGAUCCGAUUUCAAGGAAAUUCCUCUAUCAAUCAUCAAUAAUCUUUCUUCUAAGCUAUGCAUGAGUUGAUUUAUGGAUCCCUUUCAUCCAUAAAGCUCAAAAUCCUCUUUUUCAUUAUAAAGUAUGAUUUCUAUAUUAUUGGUUGUUGAUGAUCAUGUUGUUGAUAUUGGGUGAUUCCUAAGAUAGAAUCUUUAUAUGUUUUUUUGAAUUUCAUGAUAUCAUAUGAGUUGGAAACAUGUAAAUUUGGUUGUUCAGGAUGUAUAAUUUGAUGAUUUCACCUAUGCUUAAGACGUGCAUGUAAGGUGUCUGAUAAAAUGCCUAAGAAACUAGAAAUUAUGCAAUAUAGCUAAAUUGUGACUAAGUGAAGGAUUUAUGAUAUGUCCUUACGUUCCAAUGACUUCUAUGUUGAUAAUGUGCCUUGUAAAUAUUUUUGGAAUGCUCAUGAACUGUUCUUAUGAGAUUAUGCUAUGUUUACUUCCAAAUCCUACUUACGAACAAGAUGUAUGAUAACUAUGCAAUCCACAUGAACUUCCAUGCUAUGUACGUGUUGCCAAUAUGAUUACGCAAUGAACAUGAUAUUAAGAUUGUGCAAGUAAUUCGAUGUGAUAUGAAAUCCUUUCUAUGCAAUACGUUGUUCAUAACCAUGCUUAGUAUGAUAUCCCUACUUAUGAUAUUAUAAAUUAUGGACUCUACUUUUAUGAUCAAGUCAGUUAUGUGUGUCAGUUUCCUUCCAUCGAGUCUAGGGGUACUUGUACCCAAAAACUAUAGCCAUGCGCCUAGAUCUACGUCAUGUUUCAAGAUAUCCGAACUCAAGCUAUGAUUCCAUAGACUUAGUCAGUCAUCUGACUCAGGAAAACCUCAUGAUCUUAGUCAGUUUUCAGAUAUCAGUAAUAUUCUGCCAGUCAACAGAGUUCAGUAAAAUUAAGUCAUGCACUGUCAGUUAUUCAUGUCCAGUCCCUCUAGAUGGGAGUAGAGGUUAGCACCGAGUGAACCCAAGGAUGGGAACUCACCUGCCAAUUCAAGGUCUGAUUCUUAGUAGUUAUCCUUUUGGUCAAGAACUACAUAGCCAGUGUAGGUUGAGACAUCUUAACCCGUCACAUUAGGGUUGAUGAGGUGGCUUAACCCAUCAGUGUAGGGUUCCCACCAUUCUCAUUGAGUACCCGUCAGAUAAGGGUCACUCACAGGCUGUCCUUACCCGUGGCACAGUAUUGACACCCCUCUAGUUAGGGCAGAUAUUGGACCCCAGCUUAGCCAUAACGGCAUACAUGGGGAAUGUCGGUUAAACACUACUUCCCACAGUUUCAGUAACAGUCUCAGUAAAAGAACUCAGGGCGUUCUUCUGCUUUUAGUAUAUACAGGACUGUCAGAUACAAUCUAUUAUGUUAUCAGUUUUAGUAUCAGUUAUGAUAGUUAUCAGUAAACCAUGUAUUAGCUUACAGGUCAUGCUAUCACGUAUUCAUGGUCGCAGUUUCUAUAUAUGUGUUUUUAGACUCCCACGUUCAUAUUAGUCGAUCAGUGUUGUUCAUGCAUGAAACCCUUUAUGUUCAUCCUACCUUACUCAUAUACUCAGUACUCCAGUUAUACUGAUGCAUUUGCACUAUGAUGCUUUCUUUUCAUGUUACACCAUAGGUUCUGAGACACGAGCUCCGGCCCAGCAAUAGCGGUAGCAUUCCAAUCGUAGAGACAUAGUGAGUCAUCAUUGAUUUGAGGAUAAUAUGAUUUGAUACAUUUAUUUAUUUCUUCAGUUCAGUUUUAUGGAGUUAGUUGGAGACAAGUUCCUUCAACUCCUUAUUCAGAUAGCUUAAAGGCUUUUGGAUUUAUGUUCAGAUUUACGUUUAGAUUGAGUUGUUUUUGUAUUUUCACCCACAUGGUUUUAUUCAGUUGAACCUUAUGGCCUUAUAGUUCUAUGUAUUCCAUAUUAUUAUAUCAUGAUUUGCAGUAUACAGGUACAGAUAUCUGUCAUGGGGUUAGCUUGUGGUCCCUUGGUAUCAUGAACACCAUGUAGCAUUCUGGUUUAGUGAAUCGGGGUGUUACAAACUUGGUAUCAGAGCCUAAGGUUCAAUAGAGUCCUAGGAAGUCUGAAAGCCGCAUCUAGUAGAGUCUUGUACAUGGGUGUGUUACGCAUCACAUUUAUGUGUGGGAGGCAAUAAGAUGUUUUUGGAAUAGUCCCCUUUCUUCAUUAUUCAUGUCAUGCUAGUGAGCAUAAUCACAAGUUAAACUCUCAGUCCAAUCCAUUCUUUUCUUAUUCCAGACCAUGGCCCCAAAGAGAAGAAACCAGCCAGCUCCUCAGCCUGGAAGAUCCUUUGGGCAAACAUAUUUCCCAUGCAGAGUUUAAAGCCGUAUUUACCACACUUGCUCAGUCCAUGGCUGUAUAGACUAAAUGACCACCAGUCAUUCCAGCCAGUCCCAAAGCAACUAGGGUUCAGGACUUCACCCGAAUGAACCCUCCAUCUUUCUAUAGGUCUAAGUCUGAUGAGGACCCUCAGGAAUUCAUUGACCAAGUUCAGAAGGUCAUUGACAUCAUGGAUGUUACUUUUAUUGAGAGUGCUGAGUUAGUCACCUACCAGUUAUAGGAUGUUGCUCAUGAUUGGUAGAAAUAGUAGAAGUCUGAGAGGUUAGAUGAUACAGGCCCUAUCGAGUGGGAGGAAUUUAUCACAGCCUUCUUAGACAGAUUCUUUCCCCAAGAGCUGAGAAAAGCCAAAGUUCUUGAGUUCAUCAACCUCAGGCAGGGGAAUAUUAUGGUUUGGGAGUAUUAUCUCAGAUUUACUCAGCUAGCCAGGUAUGCUCCUCAUGUGGUUACAGACAAUUGAGCUAAGAUGAGCAAGUUUGUGUCAGGGGUCAACGAUAGCAUGGUAAAUAAGUAUAGGUUUGCGAUGCUGAUCGGUGAUAUGACCUUAGCCAAACUCAUGACCCAUGCCCAGCAAGUAGAAGAGUAGAAGUUUAAGAGUAGGGAGAGGCAAAACAAGAGAGUAAGGACAGGUAAUUUCAACUUUGCUCACCCCAAGUUAGAUGGAGAAAACUGUUCACUGUUUUACUCUAAGUCAGCCAUGCUAGCUCCUUCCUCUACCAGCGCUCUAGUUUCGAAGUUCAGAGAUGACAAUAGAGACAAAGUGCCAGGCUCUAAAUUUGAGGGCAGUGUCAGCAGUGUCCGAAUGAAUCCCCUUUGUCAGACUUGUGGUAAGAACCACAAGGUCAUUUGUAGAGCCGGUAGUGAUGUAUGUUUUGGUUGUCGCAAGCCAGGCCACAGGAUUAGGAAGUGUCUGUAGUCAAGUCUUUAGGGUCACCAAAAUCCUUCUACAGCUCAGUCCAGUAGCCCAAACCAGCAGGGUUCCAUUUCCAGUGCUACCAGUGGGCAACGCCCAAACAGACUCUAUGCUCUUCAGUCCUGGCAGGAUCAGGAAAAAUCUCCUAAUGUCGUUACUGGUACGUUACAAAUUUUCUAUGUUCACGUUUAUGCUUUGCUAGACCCAGGAGCAUCUUUGUCUUUUGUUACUCCAUACAUAGCAGGCGAAUUCAAAAUCAGUCCCGAAGUCCUAAUAGAGCCCUUCUUAGUCUCUACCUCAGUAGGUAAAAACUAUCAUAGCUCGGCCGAUAUAUAGGAACUGCCCGGUUAUGAUAUCUUAGAAAUGCACAUUAAUAGAUUUAGUGGAGUUAGAGAUGACUGAUUUGAUAUCAUUCUCGGCAUGUAUUGGCUUCAUUCCUGCUAUGCUUCAGUUGACUUCAGAACAAAAUUUUUCAAUUUUAGUUUCCAAAUGAACCUAUCCUAAGUGGAAGGGUAGCCUUUCAGUGUUCAGGAGUCAACUUGUUUCCCACCUUCGGGUAAGGAAAAUGAUUUCUAAGGGGUGUGUGUGUCAUCUUGUGUAUGUUAAAGAUUCUAGUUGUGAAUAUCCCAACCUUAAAAGAGUCCCUGUUGUUAAUGAAUAAUCAGAUAUCUUUCCUGAAGAUCUUUCAGGAAUUCCUCCCGAAAGGGAAAUAGACUUCGGCAUACACUUUUUUCUGGAAACUCAUCCUAUUUCUAUUCCGCCAUACAGAAUGGCACCAACAGAACUAAAGGAACAAAAAGAUCAGUUAAAAGAUCUCUUAGAUAUGGGAUUCAUCAAACCCAGCAUUUCCCCAUGGGAUGCGCCAGUGUUAUUCGUACGCAGGAAAGAUAGAUCUCUCAAGAUAUGUAUUGAUUAUCGUCAACUCAACAAGGUCACGGUCAAAAACAAAUAUCCUCUCCCUAGGAUUGAUGAUCUAUUCGACCAACUUCAGGGUGCCAGUUACUUCUCCAAGAUAGACCUCAGAUCAGGCUAUCAUCAGCUCAGAGUUAGAGAAUGUGACAUUCCAAAGAUAGUUUUCCGUACUCGGUAUGGUCACUUUAAAUUUUUAGUCAUGUCAUUUGGUCUUACCAAUGCCUCUGUAGAUUUUAUUGAUUUGAUGAGCCCUGUUUUCAAGCAGUACUUGGACAUAUUUGUCAUAGUCUUCAUAGAUGAUAUUUUGGUCUAUUCUCGCACAGAGCAUGAUCAUGCAGACCAUCUCAGGAUUAUUCUUCAGACUCUCAGGGAUCACCAAUUAUUCGCUAAGUUCAGAAAGUGCAAAUUUUGUCUAAGAUUAGUAGCAUUCCUUAGCCAUAUUAUUUUCGGUGAUGGAAUUAGAGUAGAUCCUCAGAAAACCGAGGCAGUAAGACACUGGCCUAGACCCAUAUCUCCAUCAGAUACUAAGAGUUUCUUGGGUUUGGCUGGCUAUUAUAGAUGGUUUGUCAAGGGAUUUUCUUCUAUUGCAUCUCCCAUGUCUUGAUUGAAUCAGAAGAAGAUUAAGUUUCAGUGGUCAGAUUCAUAAGAGAAGAGCUUUUAAAAUUUGAAGACUCGACUUAUCUUCUGUCCAGUUGUAGCUAUUCCAGAUAGUUUAGACGAUUUUGUAGUCUAUUAUGAUGUAUCUAGAGUGGGUUUAGGUUGUGUCCUCAUGCAGCAUGGUAAGGCCAUAGCCUACGCCUACAGACAUUUAAAGCCACAUGAGAAGAAUUAUCCUACUCAUGAUCUUGAGUUAGUAGCGGUAGUUUUUUCCUUGAUGAUUUGGAGGCAUUAUCUCUAUGGAGUGUAUGUAGAUGUCUUUACAGACCAUAACAGCCUCCAGUAUGUCUUUUCCCAGAAAGAUCUCAAUCUUCGCCAGAGAAGGUGGUUAUAGCUCUUGAAGGAUUAAGACAUGAGUAUUCUUUAUCAUUCGGGCAAGGCCAAUGUUAUGGCUAACCCUCUCAGUCGACUCUCCAUAAGUUGUAUUUUUCACGUUGAGGACAAUAAGAAAAAGAUGGCUCAGGAGAUCUAUCAGCUUGCCAGACUAGGCAUUUUCUUAGUUGAUUCUUCAAAGGGUGGUGUAUGUGUUCAUAGUAGUUCAGAGUCAUCUCUAGUUUCCGAGGUGAAAGAGAAACAAGACAGGGAUCCUAGCCCUAUCAGGCUUAAAGAGUUAGUUCAGAAUCAGAAAGUUGAGGUUUUAUCCUAAGGGGGAGAUAGUGUUCUUCUUUGUCAGGGUCGUUUAUGUGUUCCAGGUGUAGAUGAAUUAAGGCAGCGAAUACUUGCAGAACUGCCUGGUGUACGAUACUCUAUUCAUCCAGGGGCCACUAAGAUAUACCACGACAUACGGGAGAUCUAUUGGUGGUGUGGGAUAAAGAGAGAUGUUGCAAAGUUUGUGGCUAAGUGCUCUACAUGUUAGCAGGUUAAGAUAGAGCAUCAGAAACCUAGUGGUUCCAUGCAGGAGUUAACCAUUCCUACUUGGAAGUGGGAAGAAGUUAACAUGGACUUCGUGAUGGGUUUACCUAGAACUCGCCAUCAUCAUGAUUCAGUCUGGAUCAUUAUAGAUAGAAUGACCAAGUCAGCUCAUUUCCUUCCUGUUCGUACUUCUUAUUCUACUAAGGAUUAUGCCAAACACUAUAUCAGGGAGUUAGUCAGGUUACAUGUUGUUCCACUAUCUAUCAUCUCAGACAGAGGUACCUAGUUCACUUCUCACUUUUGGAAAGUAUUCCAAAAGGGUCUCGGUAUCUAAGUCCAUUUCAACACAGUAUUUCAUCCUCAGACAGACGGUCAAGUAGAGAGGACCAUUCAGACUCUUGAAGAUAUGCUAAGGGCGUGUGCAAUUGACUUUAAGGGAAUUUGGGUUGACCACUUUCCUUUGAUUGAGUUUGCAUACAACAAUAGCUAUCAUUCUAGUAUUCAGAUGGCUCCAUUUGAAGCUCUCUAUCGUAGGAGAUGUAGUUCUACGAUUGGUUGGUUCGAAGUUAGUGAGGCCUCAAUCAUAUGUCCUGACUUAGUAUUUGAUGCCUUAGAGAAAGUUCAGUUGAUCAGAGAGAGACUCCGGACUACUCAGAGCCAACAGAAGUCCUAUGCAGAUGUUUGUAGAAAGGAUCUCAAGUUCGAGGUCAAUGACUAUGUCUAUCUUAAGAUCUCUCCCAUAAAAGGAGUGAAGAGGUUUGGCAAGAAAGUGAAAAUCAGUCCUCGGUAUGUCGGUCCCUUUAGAAUUCUUUGUCUCUUCGGCAAGGUAGCUUAUGAUCUUUAGUUGACUUCAGAUCUAGCCUCAGUCCAUCCAUACUUCCAUGUCUCUUUGCUAAAGAAUUGCAUAGGUGACCCAGCAGUUGUUGUCCCAAUUUAGAGCAUCGACAUUCAGAACAGCCUCUCCUAUGAAGAGAUUCCAGUCGAAAUCUUAGAUUACCAGACCCGUAGAUUGAGGAACAAAAGAGUCCCUCUACUUGAGAAGCAGAAGCAAAUAUGCAUACCAAGUAUCCUCACCUCUUCCCCGCCAAUCUAGAUCAAGCUCAAGGUAACAGUUCUUCUUAAUCUUAUUCAGUUUCAUAUUCAUAUUUCUAGUAUAAACUUGGUACCUAUUAACCAUUUCAUACUCAGUCAUGCAUUCAUGUGUCAGUAGUCCGUGCAUCAGAUAUGCACGAGUUUAGUAUGUUUAGCAUGUCAAUCAUGAGAUCAAGUUUCAUUUCUUCAUGUUUAGUUCAGGUUUUAUUGUCUUGUAUCCCUUCUCAAUAAAUUCUUAUUCGAGGAUGAACGUUUCCAAGGGGAGAUAUUGUAAUACCCCACAUGUUUCUAAGCUAGGAAAUAAAUAAGUAUUAUACGUAUGAAAUCUCCUAUCCUGUGAUUCAGACUUGAGUACACGACUUACAAUGAAUAUCCUAGUGAUAGGAUAGCUUAUGAUUCAUUAAGCAUUUUCAUAUGAGUCACUUAAGGUAAUACAAGCUAAGAGUUUUUGAAUCCAUCAAGUUUUAAUGUUUGAUUUAGCAAGGGUCAUCUUUUUCAACUAUAAAUCGAUGUUAAUGUGGUAUUUUAACUGAUUUAGACCCAAAAAAUUGUAGAGAAUCAAAUUAGCUUUCCAACGAUACCAAUUUUGCCUUAAUCCAGUACCCGAGCGAAAAGUUAUGCCCAUUUUUGUGUGAGAUAGUUAGGAUAGGCGAUUGGUUAGGCGCCGGCCAACCCAAACAUAGGCGAUUGGGUAGGCGCCGCCAAACCUAGCUUAGACAAUCACUUGGGCGCCGCCUAAGUCAGUUCCAAGUUCCAAAAACACUCCGUUUUGAGUUAUUUUAAGGGUAAUUAAGUCUUUUAACACUCCUUACACGUCCCUAAACAUAACCUUACGAAAUAUAUAGCUUCUAAACAUAUUACAACCCUAUUAUCAUCUCAAAGCUCAUCAUCCAAGAGCACUAAAAGAGAAAAAUAAUUACGAUUGCAUAACUAAGCUUGUUGAUCCAAUUUUAAGGAAAUUCCUCCGUCAAUCAUCAAGAAUCUUUCUUCUAAGGUAUGCAUGAGUUGAUUUAUGGAUCCCUUUCAUCCAUAAAGCUUAAAAAUCCUCAUUUUCAUUAUAACGUAUGGUUUCUAUAUUGUUGGGUGUUGAUGAUCAUGUUGUUGAUAUUGGGUGAUUCCAAAGAUGGAAUUUUUAUAUGUUUUUUUGAAUUUCAUGAUAUCAUAUGAGUUGAAAACAUGUAAAUUUGGUUGUUCAUGAUGUAUAAUUUGAUGAUUUCACCUAUUCUUAAGAUGUACAUGUAAGGUGUUUUGAUAAAAUGCCUAGGAAACUAGAAAUCAUGCAAUAUAGCUAAAUUGUGACUAAGUGAAGGAUUCGUGAUAUGCCUUUACGUUCGAAUAACUUCUACGUUGAUAAUGUGCCUUGUAAAUGUUGUUGGAAUACUCAUGAAAAAUUCUUAUGAGAUUAUGCUAUGUUUAAUUGCAAAUCCUACUUAUGAACAAGAUGUAUGAUAUCCAUGCAAUCCACAUGAACUUCCAUUCUAUUGGUAUGUGUUGCCAAUAUGAUUAUGCAAUAAACAUGAUAUUAAGAUUGUGCAAGUACUUCCAUGUGAUAUGAAAUCCUUUCCAUGUAAUACAUUGUUGAUAACCAUGCUUAGUAUGAGAUCCCUACUUAUGAUAUUAUAAAUUAUGGACUCUACUCUUAUGAUCAAGUCAAUCAUGUGUGUUAGUUUUCUUCCAUCGAGUCUUGGGGGUACUUGUACCAGAAAACUAUUGUUGUGUUCCUAGAUCUAUGCCAUGUUUCACGAUAUCCGAACUCAAUCUAUGAUUCCAUAGACUUCAGUCAGUCAUGUGACUCAGGAAAGCCUCAUGAUCUUAGUCAGUUGUCAGAUAUCAGUAAUAUUCCGCCAGUCAACAGAAUUCAGUAAGAUUAAGUCAUGCACAGUCAGUUAUUCAUGUCCAGUCCCUCCAGAUGGGAGUAGAGGUUAGCACCGAGUAAACGCAAGGAUGGGAACUCACCCGUCAGUUCAGGGUUUGAUUCUUAGUAGUCAUCCUUUUGUUCCAAAACUUCGUAGCCUGCGUAGGUUGAGACAUCUUAACCCGUCAGAUUAGGGUUAAUAAGGUGGCUUAAAUCGUCAGUUUAGGAUUCCCUGUUCUCAUUGAGUACCCACCAGAUAAGGUUCACUCACAGGCUGUCCUUACCCAUGGCACGGUAUUGGCACCCCUCCAAUUAGCGUAGAGAUUUGACCCCAGCUUAGCCAUAACGGCAUACAUGGGGCAUGUCGGUUAAACACUACUUUCCACAAUUUCAGUAUCAGUCUUAGUAAAAGAACUCAGGGUGUUCUUCACAUUUCAGUAUAUACACGACUGCCAGAUACAGUCGUCCAUGUUAUCAGUUUCAGUACCAGUCAUGAUAGUUAUUAGUAAACUAUGUAUUAGCUUACAAGUUAUGCUAUCACGUAUUCACGGUCUCAGUUUCUAUAUAUGUGUUUGCUCUCCUACGUUCAUAUUAGUCAGUCAGUGUUGUUCAUGCAUGAAACCCUUUAUGUUCAGCCUACCUUCCUCAUAUACUCAGUACGCCAGUUGUACUAAUGCAUUUGCGCUAUGGUUUUUUCUUUUCAUGUUACACCAUAGGUUCCGAGACACUAGCUCCAGCCCAGCAGUAGCGGUAGCAUUCCAGUCGCAGAGACACAAUGAGUCCUCAUUGAUUUGAGGACAAUAUGAUUUGAUACAUUUAUUUAUUUCUUCAGUUCAGUUUUACGGAGUUAAUUGGAGACAUGUUCCUUCAACUCCUUAUUCAGAUAGUUUAGACGCUUUCAGAUUUAUGUUUAGAUUUACAUUCAGAUUGAGUUGUUUUGGGUAUUUUCACUCGUAUGGUUUUAUUCUAUUGAACCUUAUGACCUUACAGUUCUAUGUAUUCCAUAUUAUUAUAUCAUAAUUUGCAGUAUACAGGUAAAGAUAUCAGUCAUGGGUUAGCUUGUGGUCCCUCGGGGUCAUGAGCACCGUGUAGCAUUCCGAUUCAGCGAAUCGGGGUGUUACAGAUUAAUUAAAAUUUAACACAUUCAAUGAACUAAAAGGUUCAAGGUGAACAGACUCCAUUUAAAGUAAUAUCUUUGUGAAUGAUUUGAAAUAUAAUUCUCUAGCAUCAUUAUUUCAUGAUCCCAAAAAUUUCUUGUGCAAUGUCGCAACAUUAAAUUAGGUGAUUUAUGUCAGGAAACAUGAUAAGUAAGUGGUUUUGUUAUAAAAAAGAAUUGAGCUUGGGCGUGAUCAUGCAAAGGAGCACACAAGAAUUAAAUCAAACCAUCAUGGCCAAUUGCCUACAUUGCAAGACCAGGUGAUUGGGCAAGUGAGCAUGUAUCACUUCAUGUAGAGGAAGUAGUUUGUUGUAAUUUCACUUCCUAGUUCUUGCAAACGCGUAGUUGGGAGCUCACUUUGUGCAGAAAAAAAUAUUAUUUUUAUUUUUAAUUAUAUAUUAUUUCUUGAAAAAGUAAAAAAUAUUUUUUUAGGAAUUUUGUUUUAAACUCCCAUCCAUUUCUUUUUUUUCCUUUAUACUUCUUUCUUUCAUUCUCUCUCUAAAUUCUAAAGAACCCUAAUCCCUAAUAUUUUUUUUAAUAAAGGUCAGGCCAAAAAACACAUUUAUUUUUCAAAAUAAAAAUAAAACUUUUAUAAGGAAAAUGCCCAAAAGUACAAAGCCCACAUCAAACAUAAAAAAUAAGGAAACAAAAUGAAAGUCAUAAAUCAAAAUUAGAAAAGGAAAGUGGAAAAUUCUAGAAAAUUAAUGAAAAUGAAAGGUCUCUUGUUCUUCUUUUUUACCAUCAAAUCCAUCGAGUCAUUGAUUAUUCAAUGAAAAAGCUCACUACAAAUAAAAAUAAACCAACUAUUUACUAUUUAUCAUCAUCUUGUUCUUGGUAUAAUGAGUUUGGGCAGAUUCUUUAUUGGACAUUCAAAAAUUAUCUCAAAUUCCAAUAUCUACCAUGUCCCUAUUUCCUUUACAGAAUAAGACAAAGUCUCAUACCACUACGUAAAGAUCAAGGAACACGGUAAGUUGACCAUCCAAUAUCUACCUAUUUUGCUUUUCUUGACUCUUAUCUUUGUAUCCCUGGCCCCUACUUGUAAAAUCUAUAUCAAAACUGGUUUUUUUCACUAUUUUAUGAAUUUGUUGUAACAUUGAAAUCUCUAUUUUGGUAUUUUCCAAUUCUAAGAUUUGACAAUUGUGAUUUGUCGAUAUCUAAAUUAGUUUUAGCAUCUCUUGCUAACUCCAAAAUUGUAGUGUAUAUUAUUAACUAAGUACCAGCAAAUUAAAAAUGUAGUUGGUAACAAAAUUUGCAAGAAAGUUGCCUUUUCACAAUAUUUGUCCCACCUUCACCAAUGCUAUAUACAUUAACACUUCAAUCUUUCUUACUUUUAUUGUUAUUCAUCAAGGCAUAUCUCAUAUACCAUCCAAUAUCUUCUUCAUGAUAAGUGAAUGAGUCUCUAAAAUCAAUGGUAUACACUAAUUAAUUAGAAAAUAUUUUUGUCCUAGCCUCAAAGUUGUUUCCUCAACUACAAUAAUAGGGUCAUCCUCAAGUUUUCUUAUUUUUGUAAAUAUAAAUUUUCCUUUCUAAUAUAGAAUGUAUAAUGCAAAAGAAGUGUCCCCUAUAAUUUCUUUUGUAUAACCAUUAGAAUUACACUUGAAAAAACCUUUUUCAAGCAGCAUCCACCUAACCAUAUUACAUUCUACAAUAGGAAUAUAUUAUUCAAAUAAAUUUAAUUAUCAAAGGCCAAGUGGAUGGUAUGUUAAACAACCAAGAGUAAUUUACUAUGGCAAACAUGAACAUAUUAUUAUUCACCUCUAUUUCCAGUCUCUAGUAUGACUAUUUACCUUUAUGAAGAAUGAUAUUAAUAGAUUUCAAAAUUUUCCAAAUAUGAACAAGCACAUGACUUAAUAUAGUGUCUUUUGCUUUAUGGAACAACUAGCAUUCCAGAAUCAGUAUAUGAAGAAUCUUAACUGUAGAAAAGGACCAUUAACCCCUACAUUCCUAGGAAAAGUCUACAUAAACCUUGCAUCCUUAGGACAUUUGAAAAAUAAAUAUUCCCAUGUUUGUAGUCCCUUAUCAUACCAAUAACGUAACACUUCCUCAGAAUUAUCCAACCUCUUCAUAACCUCCCCAAUGGGGAGUCUCUUUUUGCAAAUUCUCCAAAAGAAAAAACUUAUUUUAAAAGGCAUUUCACAAAUCCAUUUAUAUAUAAUUCCUUUACAUCACCCUUUUGUCUGGUCAUCUCCAAGCACUACCCACUGAGAAUUUCUAGAGUUAUUCCUCAACUAUUAAUAACAAUCCCAUUUAUAUAAGACAUCUAUCAUUCUAAUUUCUCUAUAAAUAUGCAAACACAACUCUUCAAGAAAUAAUUAAGACAUCAAUUCCUCAUUUUAUCUUUCUUCUUGUCUCAAUUAUUGCACUUUAUCUACCUUAAAGUUAAAAUUAUGAAAAAUAGGUAUCAGAUAGUGAGGGGCACCUAUUUUGGUCAAAUUGUAGAACUAUUAUACGACUCACACCACAAGUCGUAAGAUGUUGUUACUGGUCUAGGGACCCUAUGCAUAUCUUUAUCAAGUAUUUUUUGGACAAAUUUUGUCCUUGCUAUGAGAUACAUUAUACGAUUUGUAUGAUCUUAUGAUGAGAGAUUUAGGGUCCAAUUGUAUGUUAUCCAGUAUCUAACCCUUGAUGUUCUGCCUUAGAUACAACUUAGUGGUACUAGUCAUAUGGUAUGGUGACGAGUUGGGCAAGGGAGUCACAUGUUGAAUAGAAUGUGGUGUUUGACCUUCUGAUCUAGUAACGAGUAGUAGGUAUCACUCAUAUGUUGUGGUAAUGAGCUAAAGGGUCAACUCGUACCCACCUACAAGUUUUUCAUAGCUUUUAAGCUGAAAAUAUUUUUUACAUUUUCCACCCUAAGCACUUAAGACGUUAUGUCUUAUAACACUUAUUAGGCAUUCAUUCUACACUUUAGAAGAUUAAACAAUCUCCAAACUCUCUCUAAAACUUCUAAAGAAAGAUUGGGAUAGUGUUUUUGUAAGGUGGUCAUCUAGAGCCUUAGAGAUCAAAUUAUCUCUUUGAAUCUUCAUAACUCAGGCAUUUGACUCUUCCAUCAUAUUUAGUUCACAAAAGUUAUGUGCUUUAAAUAUGUUCAUGAAUCACUAAUGGUGUAUAUGAAAGCCAGGGUUGAUGGUUUGAAGGAAUAAUGUUGAGUAUUGUAUUCUCAUGGUUUAAAUUAUUACUAUACAUGUUUUGAUAAUUGUCUUGAACAUAUGGUUUCUUGGAACUGUGAUUUAAACUAGGGGUCAUAGUUAACCUGAAUUUGAUGGUUUUUGGUAUGAAUAAUGGUUUGACUAUGGUAUACCCUCAAAUUUUUUGUGAAAUAGCCUAUGAAAAUGAUCUUUUCAUAUAUUGAUUUGUGUUUUGAAAUAUGGCAUUGUCCUAAUAAUGUAAGUGGUUGGUAAAUAGUUUUAUGAAAGCCUUGUUAGCCAUAAAUUGUUUUAAUUUCUAAAUGGGUUUGAAUCCCUAAAUGUUGAAUUAAAUAAAUGCCUUUGGUCAGACAAUGGGUACGAGUUCCAAAGUUGAUUAAUAAUAGAUAUGGAAUGUCAAACACUUGCAAGUGGGGGUUGGCAUGAUGAUACCAAUGGGAAGCCUUUGGUAAAUAAUUUGAUUAAUGGUUGUGUAUAUGAAAUGAAUAUUUUAAUUUAUUCUUUAAAGUGGGAUGUAUAGUGGAGGAAUGAAAGUAAAGUAUGAUGGACUAACACUGAAAACCACGCUAGGCAGUAAGGGUGUCUAUAUGAUCGGGAGGCUUGUGUCCCACAAAUGAAUAUAUGAAUGGGAGGUUCAAUUCUCCCAUAUGUUAUACAUUGGUUCUUAAGUUGCCUAAAUUAUGUUAGGAGGUUUAAGUCCCCCAUACAACCAUAUAUGAAUAUGGAUAUUCUCUAAUUUGUGCGGCUAUACACACUGAAGCCCUUCCAGCUCAGGGAGAUCUGGGCCCAUAUAACCUGUGGGUACCUUGUUAUAUGAUGGUUUUGCUACACAGCCUUUGUUAAGUUUUUUAAAUGCAUACUAAUCCUUGUUCUUUAUCCUAGCAUGAUAUAUAUAUAUGUGUGUGUAUAUAUGAUUGUAUAUGGUUAUUUGACUUGGUUUUAAAUGAUGGCACUAUUGUAUUUCUCUAUCCCCAAGUUACAUGCUAGCACUUCAACUACUAAUUAUGUCUGGAUGAUGUAUCCCCACACGAUGCAGAUACUGGAACUUACUUCUAAUUUUCCUAUUUAGUGAUUAUAUGCUCAACUUAGUUCGUGAGUUGAUAUAGAAAUAGUGAGCGUCCAUUCUUUGGAAGGUUUAUUUCAUGUUCCUUAUCUCUUUUGUCUUAGACUUUGUUAAGACUAUGUUUUUGUCUAUUGUCGGGGGCAUUUCCCGAUGUUUUAUUAUUUUUUAAUUUGUAGAGGCUUUGUUGGACUACUAUAGACUUGGGUGAUUUGGUUGGUUGUUGGGUGACGGACAGUUGUUCGAUAGUCAGUGGUUGGUAUAGACUUAUUUUUUAAUUGUUAUUAGUUUUAUUCAAUGCUAUCUUAUUAUAUGUUUGAAAUUCAUCCGACACUUGAGGUUGUUGUGCUGACUAGUUUUGGUGAAGGGGGUGAUCUUUGAUCCACGUGAGACUUGAGAUACCCAUCACGGCCAGGACCUGGUUUGGAUCAUGACAUAAACCCUAAUGAACCCUCUUCCUUGCGCAAACACUUAUUGGUCCUAGCCACUGAGUGAUUGCUUUUUCCAACUUCCUUGAAAUUAUACAAAAAACUUGAAAAGAUUCUGUGUAGAUAAUGAAUGACAACAAAUAUAGUAGGAUAUAAGUAGACGGGGAUGCUCAACAACACACUUUUUAUAAGAAUACACUUACCUCUAAAUGAUAAAAGCUUUACUUUUCAUGCAUGUAACUUAUUUUAAAACUUCUUUAUCAACUCUGAAUAGGGGAUUUUUCUUCUUUUUAAGUAAUUAAUUUAGGGCUUUAGAAAGUACCUAUCACAACCCGAACCGAG